UUUUAACAAGGUAUAGUAUAUAUAGAUAGUAAAACAUAGGGUUGGUCGAGGUGACCGACUUUUGAAGUAACAUCAGAUGUCAAGGUGAGGGGGAGGGUCAAUAGUCCUUAGUACGACCAGUGCUACUCUAGGUCAGCGGUCCUACAGUCAGCACGGCUUUGAUACCACUUAUGUCACACCCGGUUUUGGAAGGCAAACCGAAUGCGAACUAUGUACGUGCCAGGAUCAGAACUCACGUACACAGCGAUUACAUAAAUGAACAUCAUCACACAAUGCUCGAGUAAUAUCAUAAAAGAGUACUUAUUACAUCAUUGAGUCAUGGACAUCCACAUAGUCAUUGUCUUAACAAGUAAAUCAAAGUACUAGCGAAACGCAGUAAAGAUAAGGCCUUCACAGGCAGCUGACUGGGGGUUGCCGCCGACCCACACCUAGAAUUCGUCGUAGUCUUGGAACUCCUGGAAGUCUCCUUCCACGGCUUCGCCUUCUCCUGAGCAGUGGUUACAAUGCGGACAACCUGGUGUUUUGUGGUAAAGCAAGGAUGAGUACACAUCAACGUACUCAGCAAAUGUCCCGUUUGGCUGAAGUGGACUAGCUUUAUGUGGGGUUAGGCUCAAGCAGUUGCUUUUAGUUGGUCAGGUAUUUAUCAUUAGUAGGAGCCAGAUUUUAGCAUUAACCAACCCGUAAACCAUUUCCUCAUCGAGGAACAUCAUCAUCAUAGUCGAACCAAAACCAUAACAUAAUCCAUGUAUCUCGAACCAUCUGUAUCUCUAAUCAAAGAGGAUCCCAAGGCUGCUCUUAACCGUGAGCACGGCUGAUAUACCAGUUUCACUACCCUCUGCAGAGGUCGCACACUUUACCCAUGAGUCAUGAUUCCCUUUCUACCCGGGGAGAGCUAAUCCCCAUUGACCACUACCUAGGUGGUCCGGCAGGGCAUCACUACAUAGCUUUUACAAAGAUUCCCUAGAGAUCAUAGCUGCCCGUUAGGUUUCUCCAGUUUGAUAAACACAGUACCCCUCCCCGCAGGAGAGUGGCUAACAAAGAGCAAAACGAAAGAACCUCGGCACUCAGCCUCGGCAGAGCAAGCACUGUGCCUGGACCCCAUUGACGGCACGACGGCUAAGCAACUACACCUCUAGUUCACCCAAUUAAUCAGCUAAGGGCAUCCCAUUUCACCCUCAUGGUUGCACUGUUAUCCCGGGUGGUCUCUCAACGAACCUGUCCUUACGGAGAGGUACUCAGGAAACAGCCUGAGCCCCCUAGAGUAUCACAAGAUCAUCAACAUCAUCAGGAUAACAGUAUCAUAAAUAGUCACAUCAUGUUCAUUGAUUAAGUUAAGGCAAUAGGAGAGUGCUAACCAUAACAACCCAUAAGGUCAUCAAGGAUAAAGUAAAGUGAAAAGCUAGUCAAUCCUUAGGUUUCGAGUAAGUAAUGCGGGGUAGUAAGUUAUAAAUGAAUAGGACAUAAUAGGACAGAGGACACUUGCCUUCACCAAACUGCUGAUCAGGGACUUCCUCUGCAACCUCCUCGGGAAACACAGACUGCUCGUUGUCUACGUAAAGUAAUCAUUCACACUAUGCAAUUGGGAAGAUAACAAACAAAAAGCAACAUACCAAACAUAUGCAGAAGAGAGAUCACAAGUUCAUAGUUGAAAAGGGAUAGGCACUCUGGUGUUCCCUAGGUCUGGGGUAGAGGACUAUACAAAGUGAUUCAUUAUCCACUAAUCAGGUUUAAGUCAGUAGAGGGAUUAAAUCAUUACAUGGUUUUAAGUUCCUAAACUUAGGUGUUUAAGUCCAUAAACUUAAGUAUUCUAACUUUUAUUAAAGUCUACCAACUUCUAAUUAUCUCAAAUAGGGUUCCAAUAGCCUUAAUCCUAUCCUAGUGAUUAACUAUUAAUUGGUACAUGGAAACAGCAGGGAAACAUUGUUUAAAUAGAUAGACAAAAACAUCAUGAGCAUUUUGCAAUUUGAAGCACUUAAUUUGGAGUUCAUAUGACAAAGUUAUGAAUUUUACAAGUUUAGGGGUUAAAAAUAUACCCUAAAUACCUAUUUUGAAUUAAAUAAAAGGUCCAGGGACCUAACUGAGAGAAACCAGGGACGGCGGGUUCAAAUUCUAGAAAACCGGGGGUCUCUUUAAGAAAACACGCGGGCGAAGGGGUAUCGGGCUACUACGGCCGUCGGAUCUCAGGCGAACGGCCAGGAUUAGAUCCUGCGGGCGGGCGCGCGAGCGCGCGGCGGCCUGGGCGGCUGACAGGCGGGACCGGGCGGGCAGCGCGGGGCGCGGGCAGGCUGACAGGCGGGACCGGCCGGCAGCGCGAGCGCGCGGGCGGGCUGACAGGCGGGACCGGCGGGCAGCGCGAGCGCGCGGGCGGGCUGACAGGCGGGGCCCAACGGCAGGGAGGCGGGGUGUGGGGGAAGCGGGCCUGGGCCGCUGGAUCUCUGGCGGACGGCCAGGAUGGGCUUCGGCCUAAUUGAAACGGGACCGCCCGAUCUGGGACGGACGGUGGGGAUCGGGUGGCCGGCCUGGGUUUCUUCUACGGCUAGCUGGGGCGGCGGCGCUUGUCCCCGCGGCGGAGGACUCGCCGGAGACGAGGGGCGCGGGCGUUUGGCGGGGCUCUGAGGCGACCUGAUCGGCCGUGAAGGUUGGGGAGGGCACGGGGAGUCCUCUGGUGGGGUCUGGGUCGGGGCAGGGGCACCGGAGGGGGGCGGUUCACGGCGGAGCGGCUCGGCGGCGGCAUUAAUCUACUCCGGCGAGGAAUUAAGCGCAACAGAAGGCAAUACACGGGUCGAUAGGGGCGGGAGAGGUUCUUUACCUCAAGGCGGGCUCCGGGGACUCCUCGGCGGCGGCAAUGGCGCGACGGUGGCCCGGGGCGACGGUGGCGGACCUCCGCGGCUGCACGGGGAACGGCGGGUGAGCGCGGGCAGAGAGAAAUAGGGAGGGGGAGAGGGAAUUGGGGCGCGUCCCGGGUUGCGGACGCCGGGGCGAAGCUCACCGUGGCAACGGACACGGCGGAGCUCCAACGGCGGCCGGGAAACGAGCUCGGAACGGCGGGGAUUUGUGGCGGCGGUGCUCUGGCGUGCGCGCAGCGAGGGAGAGGUGGAAGAGGGGUCUGCUGGAGCGCAAAUGAGGGAGGGGGAGAGGGCGAGUGGGGCUCUGGGCUCAAGUGGCCAGGGGCGGGGCGGUUGCGAGCUCCACGCGCGACGUGGGCGCGGAGAAGGCGGCCGCGCGCAGCUCGGGCGGCGGUUACGCGAGGACGACGGGGCUGACAAGCCGGGCCCGCGAGCAGAGAGAGAGGGGAGAGCGGGGGCGGGCGCGCGGAAGGCGGCCGCGCUGACGGGCGGGCCCGCCAGGGCAGAGAGAGCGGGGGGGGGGGGGAAAGAGCGCGCGCGCGGGAUGGGCCUAGCUGGGCCGAAAGGCUGAGGGGGGCGGGGGAGUGGGCUUCUUUCUCUUUUCUUUUUAUUCUGGAAUUGUUUUUCCCUUUUCUUUUUAUUUUCUCCAUUUGAUUCAAAUCCAAAUAAGCCACAAAUUCAAAUUAGACCUUCCAAGAAUUAUGCACCAAGCAAAAGUGAAAUCUAGGGUUCAACAUGAUGCAACAAUUCAUACUCCCUUAGGGUUUAACCUAUCAAACUUAUAAUUACAAAUAAAAUAAGCACUUUUCUCCUAUAGAAAUGAAAAAGAAAAGAAUGAGAAAGGAUGAGAAAAGGGAAGUAACACCUGAAUUUGUGAAUAUGAGCAAAGAAAUUUUAUACCCCCAAAUUCAGGGUGUUACAAGGGGUUAUGAAGCUAGUCUUCGGCUCGUCUUCCUUCUUCAUCCAAAUUUGAUGGUAGCCUGAGUAACAAUCCAACAGACUCAUGAGCUCUAAAGAAGCUGCUGCAUCUACUAGAGAGUCUAUUCUUGGCAAUGGGAACUCGUCCUUUAGACAAGCCUUGUUGAGAUCUGUGAAAGCAAUGCACAUUCUCCAUUUACCAUUGGCCUUCUUCACCAUAACAGUGUUGGCUAGCCAUUCUGGGUAUUUCACUUCUCUGAUGACACCAGCACUAAGAAGUCCCUUUACUUCAUUCCGAGAACCUUCAGCUUUGUCUUCAGACAUCUUUCGAAGCCUUUGUUUUCUUGGCCUGAAAGAUGGAUCCACAUUUAGUGAAUGUUCAAUGACAUCUAUGUUGACACCAUAGAGAUCAUUGGCUGACCAAGCAAAGACAUCUUUGUUGUUGAAUAAAAAUCUUAGCAAAGUCUUCUCUUGCUCUUCAGACAGCUGAGACCCCAGCAGUACCCUUUGUUCUGCCUAUGUCUUCACAUAGGAGCAUAGGCUUCGGCUGAUCCGCUGAAGCAACCUUCUCCCUUUUGUAUUUAUACUGCUGACAGGCUUCGGCUCCGUCUAUAUUAUGAAUUGCCUUUGAAUCUGCCCAGUUUCCUUCGGCCCUUCUGGCAGCUUCUUGACUUCCAUGGACAGCAAUGGGCCCUUGUUCCGAAGGUAUUUUUCAAUCUUCGAAGGCAUUGAUUGUCCCUCGACCAAUGAUUGAAUUAUAGGGGUACUCCAUGUCAACAAUGUCAAAGACAACCUGUUUAGUCCUUGUGUUGUGGACGAAGCCGAAGGUCACUGGCAUUAUGAUUUUUAUGAGUGCUACAAUCUGCCUUCCUCCGAAGCCACAAAGAGGGUGUGUAGCAUCAUGAAUCUUGUCUUCUGGCUCUUGCAUCUGUCUGAAGGCCUUAGCAAAUAUGAUAUCCGCUGCACUGCCUGUAUCGACCAGAACAUUAUGGACCAGAAAUCCCUUGAUGACACAAGAUAUGACCAUAGCAUCAUUGUGAGGGUAAUCUUCAAGCUGAAGGUCCUCCUGAGAGAAGGUGAUUGGGAUGUGGGACCAUUUUGACUUGAUGAAGGGUCUCUGCACCCCAACAUGCUGCACCCUUCUCUGCGCUUCCUUCUUCUGCUUCUUGUUAGCCGGCUCUGAACUUGAGCCGCCUGUUAUCGGGAGCACCAGCUUUGUAGCCGAAGGUGCUAUGACUUGGUUGUUGAACGAGGCCAUCAGCUCAAAAGUGGAAGUGAGUUCACCGGAGGUGGGCGCCAAUGUUGGGGACUUGUUCUCAAAUGCUAUGAAUUAAGAACAAGGCAACACAAAAGGAGGUUAAUGGUUAAUGCCCUUCGUCCUUCAAAGCAUUAUUUUCCUUAGGAUAUAACGAUCUUCGGACGAAGGUUAUGAUGGAUGUACCUUCAUCAUCACAGUAUACAUUAAUGAAAGAAGAAGCAUGUGAUGGAACCUCCCAAGUCAUUAGGCCCACCUACAAUUGUCGUUGUCCAACGGACUUCAGACAACCCUGAAGGUGCACCUGAUCACUUGAUAAGUUCGGUAUCUGAAUUCCUUACCUUCCCAAGAGCGUUUCACCCGUCACACAGACAUUACAAUACAUCGGAGGUACGAAAAUGCGGAAGCAGUUAUAAUAACUUACUUUAUUGAAAAAGUAAGACAGAGUUAUAUAGUUACAGACCAGAAUAGAAUAUAUGAGUGCUGAGUAUUAUUAUUACAUAACAUGGGAGGCAAAAACCCCUCCCGAAUAAGUAGUAAAAAGUUUUUCUUAAUGGAGGACCUUUCCUCCCGUAGCUUUAGUCUUGAUUCUCUUCUUUUGGUACCACCUUGGAACAGAAGCAACAAAAGUUUGCUGCUUCUUCACCUAAAACAACAUGGGACAAAGCCCUGAGUACGAAGUGUACUUUCGCAAGACUUACCUGUCAAAGUAAAAGACUCUCAAGGAUAUGCUGGCUUUAAGGGAGUCAAGGUAAGGCUUAUCAAUAAUCAAUCACUCUGUUUGCAGAAAUGCUUACUAAUAGUGGAUCCUUAAAAAUCCAGUUUUAUUUGUCAGGUUAAGUAAAAUUACCUGUAGCUAGGGUUCUUUCUACCCUAAUUCAAUCACUUGACCUAUACUAGCCAAUUUCUUAACAACCCUUCUUAUUCACUGGAAUGCUACGUGUAGGGUAGUGACCAAGUCUUCAUAUCCGCGAAGUUACGGCCAUCCGAAUCGAUUAUACUCAGCUGAGGAUCUCCAAUCACACGACAUAUGUAGCACUUAACCCUUGCAUAUGUCAACUCGCCACCGGGGUUCUUAAGACCAGAUCAGGUUCAUGCCAACCGAGAGCACAGAUACACCACCGUCCAGCCUCUUGCCAUAGAGGGUACACGCUACUCUCGCCAUCUCUCCACUCCCAUUGUGUGUUAUCUUAUUCUGGUAUUAGUCUGCCCGAGGCAAAGCUUACCCAUGAUGAGGCAUGUGACCAGUUAAAGGGUCCUCGAUCAUCAAGCCUACAUCGAGAUGGUCCUUAAUCGACUCAGUCUGAGACACUACAUCGAGACUCUCUUCUCGUGCAAGUCACCCACCCGGUCUCAGCUUAAUCAUUUCAAACCCAAAGUUUGGUACCUGGCAGAGGUACAUCUUUUCUGAUGUUGAACCCAUCAUGGCCAUGAUGGAUCCACCAUCAAGUUUUGUUUUUGAAAAACAUCCCACCCACUUUGCAACAUCAUCUUUUGUGAAAACAAAACAUUUUGUUUUUCUAGAGCAGGGCUAAGCAUAAGAAAAACCUUUUAUAAAACAGGGAUUUAAGGAGAAGUAAUCAAAUCCAAGAAAGGAAAUGCAGGAAUUGGUUUAGCACACAACUCCUAUCACCUAAUGCAUCAAGCAAGUGAGAAAGAUUUUAAAAGGAACAAGGAGGUGGCAAAUGCAACGGGGCUUGCCUUGUGUUACUGGUGAAUCAGGCUCUGUUCUGCAGAUAUCAAAAUAAAAAUAGUUGCCUGCCUGAUGUUCUUCAGGUGGUGGUGGUGAUGAAGUCCUUGCUUCUUAAACUGCUAUUUCCUCCUCAUUUUCUAGAUAUAGCCAAAUAUAAUAAUGAAUGCUCAUGUAAUGCUCAUGAAGAUGCAAAGAUAAUAAAAGUUUAUUAUCUAAGGCCUUGAAUGUAACUUUCCUUCACGGAUCUCCGAGAAACUAGGGUUUUCGGAGUCAAUAGUGAAGUUCAUAGGGCAGGGGCUAGGGUUUUGGGUUCUAAGUAUCAAACAUGGUCCAAAACAUACCAAAUAUUACCCAAAGCUUCUAAAUAAUAUUUAAAGUUUACCUAAAAAGUUUGGUGAAUUUUGGGAUUAUAAAUUACUUUAUAAAAUUCCAGAAGUAUGUAUUUUAACUGUUUAAAAUACCCUAAAAUUCCCUAUUGGAACUAAAAAUCAUGAAAUUAUUUUUAUUAAAUACUAUAGAAAAUUAGAAGCCUAGCAAAAUUCGUUUGGUAUUUUUAGCAUUUUUCUGUAAUUUUCUAGAAUUUCUUUAGCUCUGGUAGAAAAGGAAAAAGAAAAAUAAUGAACAGUUCUGGACCGCAAUCGACCCAAGUUGGCCCAUUACUGGAGGAAAGCGCCCGCGUGCAGACUUUGCACAGAGACCUCUAUUGUUUUAAAUAACCCGAACUGAGUUCACCGCACUAUUUCUUUGAGUCGCUGACAGUUACAGUUAGACCCCUGAACUUCUAAUUCUUCACAGCGCCAUGUCCAUGACGUCGCACGGCGGAGACCCGAGCACCGACGAGUCUAUAAUGGCCGGAUCAUGCAAAGACCGGUGCUCCCGUGCGGCAGACACCAAAUUGGAUUCCACCUAACCAUUUACCCUCACUCAAUUUCACUAAUGAGACUCUAAAUCAUCCUACCCACGGAGACAGCGCGAACAAUGGAUGAACAUGGGCGUUCUCGGUGAUCCAGGGCGAUCUAGUUCAAUCAGAGGGGUCGAACAACAUUAGGAGGACUUAAGGAGACUAGAACAAACGACUAGAGAGCUUGAACCAACCUGAAACAAGCUGGCUAGGGCGAGGAUGCUUUCACGGCGACGGAAACCAAAUUGGGGAGAAUGGGAAAUUGGAGUGUUCUAGGGGAUGAUUCGAGGCACGGGCUGCUUUACUGGUUUCACAAUUACAUAGCAUAGUAGGCGGGGGCAGCAAUUUAUAGACUCCAUCAGCGGUGGCACAUGAAUUUGAGUUAGCGCGGUGGCGGCCGGAGAGUGAAAAGAGUACUGUCGCGAGAGCUCGGUGGCAUCUACCGUGGCGACCUCACCGGCGACGAACCAGUUCUACCGGGCGGUUUCUAGUGACUCACCGCGAUGGGGUAAAGCGUCGAGGCACGUAGCCCGGUCGGAUAACGGCAAACGCCGGUGAUGCCAGCGCGACUAACUACGGCGAGACACGACGGCAGUGAGAACAGUGGUCGGAGUUUAUCUCCAGCGUGAUACUUUAUACCGAGGAGUGCUUAUCUGAGUUCGGUCGAGCGUGAAUCGUGACGCCGGCGCGAAUCCGGGCACACAGGUCACCGGCGGCGAGGUUCUCUGAACCUAAUCCAUCUCGUUCACUGUACCAUGGCGUAGCUUAUUUAGUUGGCCUGACAAAGCAUAUUUGGUACCAAUUUACUCCAGAUUUUGUAUAAGGACUGAAUCAACUCUCGUAUCAAAGUGAUAGCCUAAUAAACCAGCCACAAUCUUGCUAGGGUAACCAUGCUCAAACACUUAAUGGAUCAUAUUCGAAAAGACUCCCAAAGUUCAUCCCAUGUCACUGAAUAUCAAAAUUCAGGUUUUUGGCUGACUGACAACCCAUCUUUGGGCCCAGUUUUCUCUCAACUUUGCAUAACAACAAUGCUUAACCCCUUAAGCAAAGUUGUACUCCUAUUGUAGCUCUAAACCUUUUAUGUGUUGACCUAGGGCAAAAUAUUCAUAACUUGGAAGAUACAAGCUUCUAAAGUUGAGCCAAAUGCACUGAAAAUCAGACUUAACCCCAUAGGGUUCAAAUAGGGCUUUUUGCAAAUAAGUCCAAUUCACAUCUUUUGCUUGGGAAUCCCCAAUUAUGUGAACCAUAUGACUUAAGGUACCCUAAUGUCUUGGUUUUUGCACUUUAGUCCAAAAGUGCACUAGUUUUGCACUUAGCCCCCUAGGGUUUCACUGUAGGGUUUUCCAGGGGUUUAUUAGGGUUUCUGACACUUCUAGGGUUUGGAUGCUUUCAAAUAUUAUUAGAGUGGAUAUCUCAUGACCAUUUCUAAUAAGUUUUGAAGUUUUCUUCUAUUUAGGCUUUGUUAGCUCUUUCAAGCCCAGUUUAGGGUUAGGUACCCUACCCUAGGGUUUCACUUAUAACGUGUCACAUCAAUACAACUUGUUUGAACUUUUUGCCUAGUGAAUGCAUUCUAAGUGUAACAAUCACAUGAUAUGCCAAUGCUUAUGAUGUUAUGCUCAAGUUUUAGUGGCAGUAACACCAGGGGUGUUACAAAGCAUAUGAAACAUGAGAAAUAACAUCAAUAAUCAUAUGACAUCAUUUAUAUAUCCUUAUUAUAUAAUCAUGGACAAAUAAGAAUAAUAUUGAAUUACAUUUGUACCUUCGGCUUGACAGAAGGCAAAAGUACAAGUGUGACGCACGAGCAAGUACAAGCCAGCGUGAACAGUACAGGGUUACUAUUCACCUAUUUAUAAGCACGGGACCUAGCCCGGUCAAAAUUACAUUUAUGUCCUUGACAACUAGUUACAAUCAUGAUACAAACUACCAUGGACUGAUUGGUCUUUUCCUCUUUAAGUCGGUGCAGCCCUUCGUCUCAAGGCAUGUCGCUAUGCCGAAGCUCCCUGGAUGGUAGCUUCGGCGUGUCCCUUCAUGCUGUAUUUGCUUAUGUGCUGAUCUUCCAAAGGUGUUUCUUCUUAAAGGAUCUUCGGGGACGAAGCAGACCCCCAACAUCUCACAUCAUCUAGAUUUUAAUCUUCAUAUUAAAGACCAUUUGUUUCAUAAAUUCCACAUCAUUAGCUUCUUUAACUAUGCCAUACAUUUUGUUUUAGGCUCAAUAUGCUUUAUUUGAUGUCGAUUAUCAGAGUAGAAAUCCCUCAUUACAUUUCUUCUUGAAUUUGAUUUAUCUUGCCUUUGUUGAGAAUGUAUCAUUUACAACCAAAGACUCCAAAAUUUCAGCAUUUGGCUUUGUUCUAGUCAGUAGCUCAUACGAUAUAUUUUUCAACGACGGGUGACAAAAAAGCCUAUUGCUAGCAUGCAUGACAUUCCGUGUUGAUUGCUUCCACCCAAAAAGCAUCAUGUAUUCACUUAACAUAAGUCUUGCCAUAUCAGUGAGUGUUCUAUUUUUACUCUCAACAAGGACAUUUGGUUGUUGAGUGUAGUUGACUAGAAACUCAUGCUUAAUUCUCAUGUCAUCGAAAAGUUCAUCAAUUCACGAGUUUCUAAACUCACUUCCAUUAUGACCUCUCUCUUUCUUGAUUUUCAAUUCAAAUUCAUUCUCACUUUUCUUGAUAAAUAAUUUUGAAUAUGUUGAAGACAUCACUCUUGUCAUUGAGAUAGAAAUUCAUCUAAACCUCAAGAAAUCAUCUACUAUUAGUAAUCCAUAUUUUUACCACCAAUGCUUGGGUAUGUGGUUGGUCCAAAUAAAUCCAUGUGCAAUAAUUCUACUGGCCUACUAGUUCUCAUCAUGCUCUUGUUGGGAUUGGUAUUUCCAAUUAGUUUACUGGCUUGACAUAAGCUACAUAAUCUAUCCUUCUCAAAUUUGGCAUCCUUCAUUCACUCGAGUAGAUUAUGCUUGAUACAAUAUCAAUUGCUUCAUGCCAACAUGUACUAAUUUGCUAUGCUAUAACCAACACAAACUUGAUUUUGAGAAUAAAGAUGUUAAUAAUUGAGCUUCUCUUGAAUCAAAAUCUACCAAGCAUAAGUUAUUAUACCAAAAACCAUUGAAUAUGACAUUUGAUCAAACCACACAUAUGAUCUCCACAUGAUUAGCACCAAAGACAAACUUGAAUCCAAAAUCACAUAAUUGAGACUUUGAUAAUAGGUGGAAGUUAAGAGACUCUACCAGCAAUAUAUUUGAUAUGCUCAUGUCAUUUGAUAAUGCAAUAUUUCCAUGUCCCUUAACAUUGCCUUUGCCAUUAUCACCAAAGGUAAUGCUUUCAAACUCAUCUAUGCCAUUCUGAUUAAUUAAAUUGAAUGGUCCUUGACAUCUAGUCGUGAGUUGAGUGCAUACACUAUCAAGCACCCAAUGCCUUCCUCCACCCUUGUAAUUAACCUACAAAGAUAAUUCAAUUUCUUUUAGAUACCUAAACUCAUUGUGAUACACCCAGCCCAUGUGGGGUUGGCCGAGGCCCAACAAAUUAGGGUUGCCCGGAGCCCAACAGUUCAUUAUGCACACCCAACUCAGGGAAAGGCCCAAUCGCCCCAAAAGACUAGUCCAAUGGGCGAAGGGUGGCUCUGCCAUUUAAAGUGGCUUCCUCCUCCCAAGUUAAGCGAGGUGGGAUAAUUCUGAGGCUCACACGGUCACUGUCCGACUACAAUUGGGCCAACUGGGCCAAUUGCGUCUUUGCCAAUGGGUAAUAGUGGAGGAUGUCCUCAUCAUUGCCACCUUCUUAAAAUGGGCCCUAGCUCUGAUACCAGAUGAAUACACCCAGCCCAGGUGGGGUUGGCCGAGGCCCAACAAAUUAGGGUUGCCCGGAGCCCAAUAGUUCAUUAUGCACACCCAACUCAGGGAAAGGCCCAAUCGCCCCAAAAGACUAGUCCAAUGGGGGAAGGGUGGCUCUCCCUUUUAAAGUGGCUUCCUCCUCCCAAGUUAAGUGAGGUGGGAUAAUUCUGAGGCUCACACGGUCACCGUCGGACUACAAUUGGGCCAAAUGGGCCAAUUGCGUCUUUGCCAACGGGUAAUAGUGGAGGAUGUCCUCAUCACAUUGGGUCCUCCAACAAUAGUAACUAGGCUCUUGGGCACCCAGAUUGUCUUCUUCUUUGGACCAAUAGUAGGUUGUUCCAAUGGACUUAGGUUUUACACCACUAGUAUUUUGGUAAGAAAAUAGCAAAAACCAAAUCUAAUGGACGAUAUAGAUUUGUUCUUAUUUUUGCAUUAUUUUACAAAUUUCCCAACUUAUUGACAUUUAAAGAAAACCGAAGAUUACUCCUCACAAAACUAGUCAUAUGUGUAGCAAAGGUCACAUUUCCAUUUAAGUGAGUAUAGCCCAAUCUCUCUUUGUAGAGAGAAAGUCUUUUGCUACCCAAGCAUUUUAGCAAACAAGCCUCACCAUCAUAGGCUUUACCUAAGGCAUGAGUGAGCUCAUUUACCUCCUUAAGGGUCUCAAUUUCGACCACAAGUCACACAUCACAAGUGAAACCAUCACUCACAGAUGAUGACAUGAUGCACUACAUGAGGGGUUAGUAUGAUCAAUAUUAAUACGAGCACUAGAAUAUUUGUGAUAUCCUAGCCCCUAGGAUGGUGAUAUCCUAGCCCAAGGCUUAAUUAGAAUUAAUAGAGUAUCCAUACCAAUAAGGUGCAUCUUCUUUUUCGAAAGCCUAUCUCGAAAGAACCUCCAAGUUAAGUGUGCUUAGCUUGGAGCAAUUUGGGAUGUGUGGCCGACUGGGAAGUUUUCUCUGGUGCGCAUGAGUGAGGACAAAGUGCGCACAAAAGACUCGUGUUGGUCUGUGGGGAAAAUAUAUGAUCCUAGAGAGCUGCCAGGAGUAAGUAUCACCGGUCCAGGGAUUGGACGGGGUGUUACAAGUGGUAUCAGAGCUGACCCUCGCGGUUUCAUGGGCGUGUGUGGGUUACGGGGUUCGGGUAUAUGGCGCAUGGCACAUGUGGGCCCGGAGUGGUCACAUGGCAUGGCAUUUGACGACACUAGAUACACGAAGGUGGCUAAGAGGGGAGGUUCCUGGAUUGGGGUUGACAGACGAGGACGUCACUCUUCUAAGGGGUGGAUUUUGAUAUUCUGACCCCUGGGAUGGUGAUAUCCUAGCCCAAGGCUUAAUAUAAUUAAUAGAGUAUCCAUAUCAACAAGGUGCAUCUUCUUUUUUGGAAGUCUAUCUCAAAAAAACCUCUAAGUUAAGCGUGCUUAGCUUGGAGCAAUUUGGGAUGGGUGACCGACUGGGAAGUUUUCUCGGGUGUGCAUGAGUGAGGACAAAGUGCGCACAAAAGACUCGUGUUAGUCUAUGGGGACGAUAUAUAAUCCUAGAGAGCUGCCAGGAGUAAGUACCGCUAGUCCAGGGAUUGGAUGGGGUGUUUCAAGAUUCAUCAACAAUAUCACAUGUAACACCUAUGCUAGCUAUUUCAAUAGUAUUCUUUUGACUAAUAUGAGUAAAAUGAGCUUCUUUUAGCUUCUCAUAAGUUUUAGUGAGAACCUCAUGAGUAGCUAAAUGCUCCUCAAAGGAUUGCUUAAGAGUUUUGUGCUUCUUGUGCAAUUCUUUGAACUUUUUUUUGUAUUUUUGUUUGAGAAAGAGCUAUCCUCUUGUAAUAGCUCAAUAAGUUCCUGUUCAGGGCCUCUAUUGUGAAAGGUCCUCAAAGCAUUGCAUUAUCAAUCAAACAUGUUUUUAGGCACUACCAAAAGAUAGCGAAGCUAACCUUCUUCUGAAGCUACACGUGAGGAAAGGAUGAAUCUAGGGAGCUUCAGUCCUAUGAACAUGACUGACGGACAGGAACGAAGGAGAGAACGAACUUCGACCAUGUGGUAUUAUCACACAGAGCAGAAGUAGACGAGAAGAAUCCAUAAGGUUGGCCAGCGCCACACGAGGAAAGAAAGGACAAUGUUACCCCUACAAAAAGUUGUAUCCCGCCACUAUAAAUAGAGAAAUGGUGCCAUGCAUUAGGACAUAGGUGGAUAACGGAGAGAACAAGGAUUUCUCCACUUUCCAAGGUGUUUUGUAAAGCCAAAGGUAUUUUUGUAACCAUUCAUGAUAAAAUUAGACGAAGUCAAAUUAAUUGUUCAAGAUGAUUUGCUAUGUUAUUCCAUUAUGUCAAAAAUAUUCUAAGAUAUAAUUUAUCUCUAAUCUUGUUCCUUUAUUCAUUCUCUUCAAAAAGGGGAUUCAUUAAAGGGAGAAGGAAAAAUUAACACAUUUGUGUUGCCUUGUUCUUGAUUUCACUUAGGAACCAAAAGCAAGUGACUAAUAGUUCCUCAUUGGAGGAUCCUACACAUCCUCAGUUUGACUCUAACUAUCAUUAUCCCUCUCAUCAAAUUGUGCAUUACAACCUUUGGAAAUGAAGCAUGUCAUGGACUAUCAAAAAGAGAUGAAGUCAGCAAAUCGCAUGCACAUCUGUUUCAACUAUCAACCGACUUGGAGAGCAAAGGAGGAGUGUUGAUGAAGCCAAGUUGGUGGAUCCAAUGGUCGACCACCCCCUAGAUGUCUAGCCACUACACGGCCAAUUGUCCUUCCACCUGUCCACCCGACCACCAACUUGACCCCUUUGGUGACCUAAGCUGUCUAUAAGUACCCUUUGUCAUGUUUUAGACUAUAAAUACCCUCAAGUGCUCAUUUGUAUAGUUUAGAAAUAUAGUGAAGCCACCCUUAGCUUUUAAAGUGAGUGUGCCCUAUUGUGUCAAGGGAGAGGAGUGAGGAAAGAGUGAAGAAGUUAGGAUUUCUCUUGGAUUUUCUAUCUACAAGCUUGUAUUCUCAGAGGAUGGAUAUUCAACUCCAAGCUUGAGUAAAAUUCCCUUUUCUUCUAUUGCAUUUAUAUUCUACUUGAUUUAAUUUCAUACUUGUUCAUUCUACUUAGUCAAUUACGAGAACACAAGUGCAUACUUAUUUAUGUUGUACAAGUGCUUACGUGUUACUUUGACUUGCAACCAGAGCAAUAGUGAAAUCUUUGCUUAGAAGUGUUGUUUAGGCUUAGUUUUUGUUGGUGGUUGGAGAUCUAUCACGUGUAGAUUUGGUUGGUAGUCCCACCUAGUGACAACGAGUGUGUGUCUAGUGUAUCUUGACCCCCUUGUUUGCAUAGUUUACGCUGACGAUAUAACUGAGUUCUUGUAGAACUACCUUUCUCAUCUAGGUACCAGCACUUUGGUUCCUAGAAGUGGUUCUAUAGCCUCGAUGUCUAAGUAACCCCGACUAACUCAAUACUAUUAUGCUUAGGAAGUUGAGUAUGUAUAAUUGAAAUAGGGAACCUACUAUACCCAUGUUGGGAGUUUUCUUCCCUACCGAAGGUCCUCAGGACAAAAACACUUUCGGCAAGAGAAUACAAAGGCUCAAGACAAAGGCUUUGCUUUGCACACAAGCAACGCUGCAGAAUCCCGAAGCUCGAUAGCUUCGGCUCGGAUCAAGCAAAGAAAUAAAAGACUAAAUAGACCUUAUUAGAUUUAGUUGCUUGUAAAUAAGUGUUUAAGGGUACGGAUGUAAUUUUGCUCGGGCUGCGUCCCGUGCCUAUAAAUAGGUGAACAGUAACCUCGUACUGUUCACGCUAGAUUGUAUUCACUUUCUCGCAUCCACACCUUCGAGCAAGCCGAAGGUAUCAAUGUAAUAUUAGCAUUGUUUAUUUUCAUUUAUGUUUUAUGGAAUAUAAGAAUAAACCAAUUAAUGAGAUGCAAUUAGAAUAUUUAUCCUCUUGCGUCCCUACUCGCAUAAUAAAUGAUGAAGGUAUAUCCUUUUUAACCUUCGUUUGACGAAGGUUUAUACCACGAAGAGAUAAUGCUUCGGUUAGACGAAGGUCGGUAAUGACUAACAAUUGUGUUGCCUUGUUCUUGAUUUAUAGCAUUUGAGAACAAGUGACCAACAUUGGCGCCCACCUCCGGUGAACUCACUUCCACAAUUGCAACAAUGGCUUCACAAGGCAACCAAGUUGUGGCACCUUCGGCUACGAAGCUGGUGCUCCCAAUCACAGGCAGCUCAAGUUCUGAACCAGCCAAUAAGAAGCAGAAGAAGGAAGCACAUAGAAGGGUACAACAUGUUGGAGUGCAAGGACCCUUCAUCAAGUCCAAAUGGUCUCAUAUACCAAUCACCUUUGAAAGGAUCACGAUGCCCGAGAGGGGGGUGAAUUGGGUUUUCUAAAAAUCAACACUAAUUAAAACCUAAGCAAGAGCCCAACUUCACCCCAACAACUAGCACUAAGAAUAUAAUACUAGAAAUGCAACAAUGCUAAGACAAUACUUCAAAUACUUGCUCAACAAAUACACAAUGUAAAGUGCUUGAAUUAAGUGCGGAAUGAAAGCAAGGUUUAGAAGACUCCUCCAAUUUUUCCUGAGGUAUCGAAGAGUCGGCACUCUCCACUAGUCCUCGUUGGAGCACCCGCGCAAGGGUAUCGCUCCCCCUUGGUCCUCGCAAGAACCAAGUGCUCACUACGAGAUGAUCCUUUGCCACUCCGGCGCGGUGAAUCCCUCGAGAUCGCUUACAAACUUGAGUCUGGUCACCAACAAGAUCUUCACGGUGAUCACCGAGCUCCCAACGCCACCAAGCCGUCUAGGUGAUGUCGAUCACCAAGAGUAAAUAGUCGUAGACUUUCACUUGACCAAGAGAAGCCUAAUGCAAGUGGUGUGUGCUCUAGGUGGCUCUCGCUAGCGCUAAUGAGGAACAAAUGCGGAUUAGGAUUCUCUAAUGUCCUCACUAGGUUUUUGGUGCUUGCAAUGCUCUAGCAAUGUGCUGGAAUAAAUGUGGGGUGCAAGACAUUGAAUAUGGUGGGUGGAGGGGGUAUAAAUAGCCCUCACCCACCAACUAGUCGUUACAGGCAUCUCACUGCGCAAUGGCGCACCGGACAGUCCGGUGCGCCAACGGUGCGCCAACGGUGUGCCAACGGUGCGCCAACGGUCGUUUCCAACGGCUAGUUCUGACAGUUAGCCGUUGGACUCAUGGCACACCGGACAGUGAACAGUCAUUGUCCGAUGCACACCGGACAGUCCGGUGCGCCACUUUAAUUCAACUCUGAAACCUGCGCUCUCGGGUUUCUACGUGGGGAAGGCUCUUCCCUGGGCCAGUCUGGGCCCACCUGGCAGAGGGUGCACCGGACAGUCCGGUGCCCCAGGGCCAGAAACCCUACUUCUUGUUUUUCAGCUGUUUUUCAAAUCGGUUUUCGUUCUAACUUGUGAGUGAGUUCUAGAGUGACACCUAGCACUGUAUGUGAGUGUGAUUGUGCACCAACACUACACUAGAACUCUCUUGGUAAAACUACUCAUCGACCACCCCUCUUUAUAGUACGGCUAAAAGAGAAUAAAAGUCCUAACUAAAUCACGAGUGUCCACAUCUCCUUGACACUCGGACUCCGUAGUCCUUCACCUUUUGUUUCAUUGUUUUAGCCAUAGCUUCGAGUUCUUAUCUCUGGGAUUGUUUUCACCGUUGUAGUACUUCUACCUGUAAUGCGACCUAACUUACCAUUUGUCUCUUCAAAACACAUGUUAGUCACAUAUAACAUUACGUUGUCAUUAAUCACUAAAACCAACCAGGGGCCUAGAUGCUUUCAAUCUCCCCCUUUUUGGCGAUUGAUGACAACCCUACAAGAUUUGUGAGAGUAGUUUGUUUUGAAGUUUCUGUCAAUAGAAAGGAUGGUUAGUUAUACUCAGUAAUCUUUGAUAGAAAGAACGUGUACCAUAAUAAUAAGAGUGAGCGCAUACACAUCGUAAGAUUCUUGUUCAUAUAAAAGUGAAGUUAAAUCAAUGAAUCAAGAACUAGAAGACUGGUGAUAAAAUAUAAGGUGAAAACAUAAUACACACAGUCAAUCAUAAGCAACGAGAGUAUAUAUAGAGUUUGUGAGCCAAAAACACCAAGCUAGUACAGAGAGUAGCAAGCACAUAUAUUACAUCAAAAUGACUCUCUACUAACUCUCUAACUCCCCCUAGCUCUCACAACUCAUAUCUCUCCCCCUUUGGUGUCAAACACCAAAAGGGACCCUAACCUACACAUCUGAGGCGGGAGGAGGCGGCGGGGGCGCAUCCGGUCGCGGUCGAGGCAGCAGAGCGAACGCCGGCGGGGGGUCAGAGUCAGUCUCGGAUCCAGGAUCUGCGGUAGAAGCUGGAGCUGGUACUGACUCGGACUGAGGCCACGCUGCAGAAGCUGCCGGAACAGAAGUGGUCAUAGAUACUGCCACAUCAGUAGUGGUAACAGCAGAUGCUGGUGGCACUGGCGGCUGAGGGCAGACAGAGCUGAGAACCGGUGACGUGAAAGCCAGAGUGACCGGCCGGAGCGGAGAGGAAGAAAGACCAACAGAAGAAAGAGGGGGUCAUGUCUGAAUCGCUGGCACCAUAGGAGCCUGAAGCGGAGGAGGUGGAGCAGACUGAACCGGUGGAACUGAGACACCAGAAUGCUGCAACAUAAGAGCCAUGAAUGCCCUGCUCUCAGCCCGAUCCUGGAGAAGCUGCUGCUGAAGGGAAUCCUGUCUGUCCUGUAUGGUCUGAAACAUCGAGAGCAUCCUCUCGAAUAACUGCUGAUGGGUUGCUGCCUGGCGGGACUGCUCGGCUACCAAGUGAGCCUGCUGCUGAGUGAGUGUCUGAAGAAUCGAAGCAAGUGCAGGGUCAAUAGCAGGAGGGGCAGCAGGGGUAGCACUAGAACUCCCAGCCUCAUGAUCAUGUGAGCGUGGAGGCAUAGGAGGCAGAGGCGGAGGAGGAAUCCCAAAAUCAUCAUCAUCAUCAUCAACUGCUGCAUCCUGAGCUUCGAACUGAUGAAGAGCAGCAUCCUCGGCCUGAGAGUCAAAGACUGGAGCAGAAGCUGGCACAGGAGCCUCAGGCGCAGGACGGUAGGACCCAAAGACAAGGCGAGAGGCCUCAAGUGUGCCCUGAAACUGUGGAGGCCGAAUCAGCUGCGCAAAGAUGUGGCACAAGUAGUGAGCAUAUGGCAACUGUCGACGAGCACGAAUGCCAUCCAAAACGGUGUCCUCGAUCUCACAAAUAAGGAAAUCCACGACGUCAAACUCAGAGUGAGAGACCAGGGCACCAAGGAGCCAGAGCUAGAUAUGUGUGGUAGCCUCCCUGUAUCCCAUCCUCGGCAAAAGAGUCCGUCUGAUAAGCUCAAAUAAGUACUUAGCUGCUGUAGUAAAAUCUGCCGGUGAACGUCGUGACCCAUCUGAGAAGGGCGGGCGGAACAGAGCCGCGACGUGAGUUGUACCGGAGCCACACCGCCGUGAGGGCGACGAGGAGGGUAAGAGGUGUCGUAGCAUAAGCUGUGAAGUCGAGUCGACGACUCGGGAAAUCCAAAGAGCUGGCGAAUCUGACUGGCAGUAAUGGUGACAUCCUCUCGCUCAAAACAAAACCUCAUCCAGUGAUGAUCUGGGUCUAUCCAUACAGUCGCGUAGAAAACUCGGACCCACUCCUCAACAUACCUGCCGCUGGUAGUCAAAAGAGUCAGAAGGCCAGGCAGAUAUGUGAGGUGCACCUCAGAGUCAGCACCGGCGGCGAGCAGAAAAGCUGGAAGGUCCAAGAGCUGGUGCACUCGUAGAGCAAUCUGUCCAGACAUUUGAGCUCUGAAAAAGGACUCCUGAAUACAGGUGCUGAAUAGGUCAACUGCUGCAAGGUCCCUCUGAGCCGGUAACCAAGACUCUACGGGUACGUAUCUGAACCUACGUACCCGUGCCGCUGUAGCACGCUGAAGGUCAAAAAGUCUGGGAUCCGCUGCAAGAGGUCGUACAUCAGUCUCAUCGCGCUCCCGGAAUCGAGGUGGAGGGAUAGGAGGAGCUGAAGCGGGAGCGGGAGGAGGAGCAGUGGAAGCUGGUGUAGUGGAGGUAGUGGGUAUGGCUGUGGUGGUGGAUGGCGCAACAGGGGUGACGGGAGCAGGCAGAGUGGGUGGUGGAUGGCGCAACAGGGGUGACGGGAGCAGGCAGAGUGGGUGGUGGAGUGGAAGAAGUGGUGUGAGUGGAGGAGCGAGACCGGGAGGCGAGACGACGAACACGGUACGCAAUCUGAUCUGACAGAGUCUGUGGCUGAUCUCCAAGCUUGGCCUGCGCAGCGGCCGCUGCUGCUGCUGCCGCUGCUGCUGCUGCCGCUGCACGGGCUGCUCUGUCCAUACGCCGCUUCUUGCGGCCUUCCUGCUGCUCCAAGUGUACUGUCUUGCCCUUGACCUGCCUGAAGGGGCGACGAGGAUCCUCAUCAUCGCCUCCCCCUGGUGCCGACACAUUCUUCGUGCGCGGCAUCCUGACCUGAUGACUGUAAAUGAGAGAGAGAGACUAAGCACAGAUCGAUAAAAUCCGAUAGAAUAUCAAAGGAUGAGAUGACUACCUGGAAAGCUCACACGAGAGGUGACGAUCCAGGCAAGACAGGAGAUGGCACAUGGGCAAUCAAGGUCACUGAAAUGACAGAAGAGGUGAGCACGCAUUAGUCACAUAGUCAUAAGUAUAUGAAAUGUGAAUAAAUACAUACACAGAGAAAUAUGGCACAGAAAACAAGAGAUGAGACGAUCGAGAGGUCAAACGACGUGAAAACGGCGUUUGAACGAUAAAAAGUGCCAUAGGAGGUUUGGAAUUCGAAUUGAGGCACGAAAUGACGUGGAAUUGAGCCGACACUUCACGAAUAGGUUUAUAUGGGUGAAUAUGAGUGAAGUGUGUGUUUGGUUUGAAUUUAGGCGAAGAAAAUGAGAUUUGGGCACUCAGCUCGGAAACGAUCGCUCGAAACGGGGAAUUGGGUGAAAUUAAAGCCUGGAAUAUCGGAUGGGCGUGAAAUUUGGCGAAUAUGUUACUGGAGAUGUUUUGAAGGUGCCUGAAAAAUUUGAGUUCAAUUGGAGCAUUUUUGGCUAGUUUGGGCAUUUCACCGAACACGUGGAGGGCGGAGUUUUAGGGUUUCGGGGAAAUGGCUAUUUGAGGUGGGAAAACCCUCCCGAAGGAGCUAGGAACCUGCAAGGAUACUCAAGGCUCACAGAGGAACACAUAUGACCACUUGGUUUCACUGGAUUUCACAGGAAAUUGGAAUUGACUCACAAGGGGUGGAAGAGGGGGCAUCACUAGGCUGAAUCAGAGAGAAGAGAGAGGGGUGAAGGCAAAGCUGCUCACCAGAGGGAGAAGGGACGAGUGCAGGCACAGGAUCGCCGGAGGAUCGCCGCCGGGGAGGGGAGAUCGUCGGCGAGGGUGGAGAUCGCCGGCGAGGGUGGAGAUCGCCUAAACCCGAGAGCAGAGGUUGGCCAGGGGAGAAAAUGGGCCUGGCCUCGGGCUUGGGCAGAGAAGAAUUUUUUAAAAACUGAGUAUGGGCGCACCGGACAGUCUACAGUGCCUGUCCGGUGCACACCGGACAGCGCACAGAAGAAAGGAUUAUGAGCGCGCGGCUGCCGGUGCACCGGACAUUGCACAGUGCAGUGUCCGGUGCACACCGGACUGUCCGGUGAGCCCAGACAGAGGGAAAAUUUGGAUUUUUUGAAUUUUUCUACCUAGUUCCCAACCAAACCAAAUCCCAACUUAUAAACACACAAAAUAACACUUGUUGGGAUAGGUAUUGGCACCCUCAUAUACUUUUCUCAUAAUUUUCAAAAUAUUUUGCCAUAGGCUAGAUAAUUUUUAGAGAAAAUAGGCAAAUGGUGAAAUUUGCAUUUUGGCCUUGCACUAGGGGUUUUCAUGAGUGAUUUGAGUUUUGAAUACUCCCCCUAAGUGCAGUACCUCAUGCAUAUUUCAAGAACCAAUCAAUUUGCAUAAAAAGUAAGAAUUUAAGUGCUAAAAGCUUAAAACUAAGACUUGUCAAGUUUGAUCCGAGUUAAGCUUUUUCACUCGCUUUGUUGGCGGUUAUCUCAACUAGGUUAGACAAGCCCUAGAUGCAAUACAAGAAAUUUAAACAUGCAAUGCAAGCUUGACAACACCAUUUGACAUUUUACAUAAAAUUUCUGAGAUCAUGAAUAUUUAGUUCAUUCCUCAACAUGCAAAAGCGGGUCUUAUCAAGUGGCUUAGUGAAAAUAUCCGCUAAUUGAUCUUCCGACCUCACUCCUUCUAAAAUGAUAUCUCCUUUAGAAACAUGAUCUCUAAGGAAGUGAUGACAGAUAUCAAUGUGCUUGGUGCGAGAGUGUUGUACAGGGUUAUUAGCAAUUUUAACAGCACUCUCAUUAUCACACAACAAAGGUACCUUUUCUAGAACUACGCCAUAGUCUAGAAGAGUUUGUUUCAUAUACAAAAUUUGUGUGCAACAAGCACCUGCGGCAAUGUAUUCCGCUUCGGCAGUUGACAAGGCAACACUAUUUUGCUUUUUGGAUGUCCAUGAAAGUAGUGAUCUACCAAGCAGAUGGCAUCCCCCAGAAGUACUUUUCCUAUCAAUUUUGCAACCGGCAUAAUCCGAAUCGGAAUAGCCAAUUAAAUCAAAAGUAGCUCCUUUGGGAUACCACAGACCAACGCUUGUGGUGUGCCUGAGAUACCUAAGAAUUCUCUUAACAGCGUGAAGAUGAGUUUUCUUAGGAUUAGAUUGAAAUCUAGCACACAUGCAGACACUAAACAUAAUAUCGGGCCUAGAUGCGGUAAGGUACAAUAAACUACCAAUCAUAGAACGGUAGAGAGUUUGAUUAACCGGGUUACCUCCCUCAUCUAAGUCGAGAUAUCCAUUUGUAGGCAUGGGGGUCUUGAUUGGUUUGCACUUCUCCAUGUUGAACCUUUUCAACAAGUCUUUGGUAUACUUCUCUUGUGAGAGAAAGUUACCAUCUUUCAUUUGCUUGACUUGAAAGCCGAGGAAGUACGUUAGCUCACCAAUCAUUGACAUCUCGAACUCCUUCGACAUCAACUCACCAAAUUCCUUGCAAUGAUAGUCAUUUGUCGAGCCAAAGUUUAUAUCAUCAACAUAUACUUGACAAAUGAAAAUAUCACUGUUAUGUUUUUUUGUGAAUAGAGUUGUGUCGACGGUCCUGAUCUUGAAGCCCUUUUCGAUGAGGAAGUCGCGAAGGCGCUCAUACCAAGCCCUUGGAGCUUGCUUUAGCCCAUAUAGCGUCUUGGACAACCUGUAAGCAUGGUUAGGAUAUCUAGGGUCUUCAAAUCCAGGCGGUUGCUCAACAUAUACAAGUUCAUUUAUGAAGCCAUUUAAAAAUGCACUUUUUAAGCAUGAUGCAUAUGCAAGUAGGAUACGGAUGGCUUCCAGUCGAGCAACCGGUGCAAAGGUCUCUCCAAAAUCUAAGCCUUCAACUUGAGAGAAUACCUUUGCAACAAGUCUUGCCUUGUUUCUUACAAUCACACCUUGAUCAUCUUGUUUGUUUCUGAACACCCACUUUGUUCCAAUGAUUCUUGCAUCUUGUGGGGGCUUCUCGAGGGUCCAAACUUCGUUACGGGUGAAGUUGUUAAGUUCUUCAUGCAUGGCAUUCACCCAGUCCGGAUCCUGUAGCGCCUCAUCUAUACAAGUAGGCUCAACACAAGAAACAAAGGAGUGAUGUUCAAUAAAAGAAGCAUGUCUAUGUGAUCGAGCAAUAACCCCUUGUGAAGGACUCCCGAUGAUUUGAUUUGGAGGAUGAGCUUGAAGUAGUGAUGAGUUUCUCCUGUCAACCACUUGGGAAGAAGAUCCUGGAGCAUCAACAUCUUCGGCUUGUACCCUUGCUUGUUCAUGAGAGACAAAUGUAUCUUCAUUUGCAUGCCUCUCAUCUUUUUCAUCAUCUUGUGGUACAUUUGAUGAAGAAGGCCUGUCAAUGUUUUGCACCUCUUCUUCAUCUUCUUUUGGUUUGAUAGCUCCAAUAGGCAUGUUCUUCAUUGCUUCCCUAAGUGGCUCAUCACCUACAUCAUCAAGAUUUUCAAGUGCUCCUUGGGAGCCAUUAGUCUCAUCAAAUUCCACAUCAUAUGUUUCUUCUACCACGCCAGUGGCAUGGUUGAAUACUCGAUAUGCUUUGGACUUUAAUGAAUAACCCAAAAGAAAACCAAUAUCACAACGUCUUUGAAACUUCCCUAGGUGAUGGUGUUUCUUGUAGAUGUAGCAUUUGCACCCAAACACCCUGAAGAAGGAGACGUCUGGCUUUUCCCCAUUUAGCAGUUCAUAGGGAGUCUUUGCAAGUAGCCAGUGAGGAAAUAGCCUGUUUGAUGCAUAACAUGCAGUGUUGACAGCUUCGGCCCAAAACCUCUCCAGUGUGUUAUACUCAUCAAUCAUUGUUCUUGCAAGUGUGAUCAAGGUCCUGUUUUUCCUUUCAACAACUCCAUUUUGUUGAGAUGUGUAUGUUGCAGAUACUUCAUAUUUGAUCCCAAUUUCAUCACAGUACUCAUGAAUGUUGGUGUUGUCAAAUUCUUUGCCAUUAUCACUUCUAAUCUUCUUGAUCUUGCAAUCAAAUUCAUUUUGUGCUUUCUUGGCAAACUUCUUGAAUAUAGAUGCAACUUCAGAUUUGUCGUGGAGAAAGAACACCCAAGUGUAUCUUGAGAAGUCAUCAAUAAUCACUAGACAGUAGAGGUUGCCACCGGCACUUACAUAAUUUGUAGGUCCAAAUAAAUCCAUAUGAAGUAGUUCCAGUGGCCUUGAUGUUGACAUGAAAGCUUUAGUAGGAUGUGUAUUAGCAACUUGCUUUCCAGCUUGACAUGCACUACAUGGCUUGUCUUUUUCAAACACCACAUCCUUUAAUCCUCUAACCAUGUCUUUCUUUAAUACCUUCUUGAGUGUGCUCAUCCCAACAUGUGCAAGCCUCCUAUGCCAAAGCCAUCCAAGUGAAGCUUUGGUGAAGAGGCAAGUUCUUAAGUCUGCAUCUUCUAAAGUGAAAUCCACUAAGUAGAGGUUGUUGUAUCUAAAUCCCUUGAACACCAUUGAUUCAUCAUCCAUCUUUGUUACAAUAACCUCUGCUGGAGUGAAUAAGCAUUGAAGUCCAAGAUCACAGAGUUGACCCACUGAUAAUAAAUUGAAGCUCAAAGGUGCAACCAAGAGAACAUUUGAUAUUGAUAAAUCAUUUGAAAUUGCCACCUUGCCUAGUCCUUGCACUUUUCCUUUUGAAUUGUCUCCAAAUGUGAUUUUAUCUUGUCCAUCAACAUUCUCAUCAAGUGAGGUGAACAUCCGUGGGUUGCCUGUCAUAUGUUGUGUGCAUCCACUGUCAAUAACCCAAUGGCUCCCACCGGUCAUGUAGUUCACCUACAUCCAGAGACAAAUCAAGCUUGAGUUUUGAGGGCCCUAUAUUGCAUAGGACCAGUGACUCUCUCAAUCAAGGACUUUGCAACCCAGAUUUGUCUAGGUCUACUCUUGUUUGGUGGACCUAGAAAUGUAACUUUGACCUUUCCAUUUGCAACCUUUCUUAGAACAUAGUGAGCAUUGAAAGCAAAUGGUCUUGAGUGCUUAGGCAAGGGAGUUGGUGGUUUGGCUUUGCAGUUGUGGGCAAAAUGACCUUCAUUUCCACACUCAAAGCAUUUGAUGGGCUUAUGAGUCUGCUUUGGCUUGUAUUGAGUGGUAGCUUUCUUUUGCACAAAAGCAUUGUAUCCAAUACCACUCUUGUUGUUUUUCAUGACAGUGUUCAUAAGCAGCUCAUUUUGGAGGUAUUGACCCUUGUUGAACUUUUACACACUUGUUGCAAGAUGUUCAUUUUCACUUUUUAGUUUCUUGACCUCAUUUUUAAGCCUUUGAUUAUCCACUGCCAACUCAUUGUUGAAAUCAUUGUUCUCAAUAGCAACCUUUCCUCUAGUAGUUGCAUCAGUCAAGUAUUUCUUCAAUUUUUGGUUGUCUAAAGUUAGGACUUCAACUUGUUCAGUCAAUUCAGCAUGUAGACUAGUUUGCUCUCCUUGACUCAAAUCAUCACAUGAGGUUGCUACAUCAAUCUUAACAACAGGGUUAAUAGCCUCAUGUGUUUUGCAAGAUAAACGUUCAUUUUCAACAUGAAGAUUGUCAUGAUCAAAUUUAAUUUGAGUAUAGGCUUCCUUGAUUUUUACUAGUCUAUUUUGCAACUCCCUAUUAGCUUCAUUUAAUAUGUCACAUUUAUCCUUAGCAUCUUUUAGGGAGAUUGUGAGCUCAUUUACAGUUGAUGACGUAGUUUUAUUUUCUUCUUUUAUUUCAUCACUAGCUUUCAUAACUAUAUCAUAUUUGGCAUUUAAAGAUUCAUUUUCAUUUUUCAACCUAUCACAUUUAGCUUUUGACUUUCUAAUAAUUUGAGUAUAUUCUUUAAGCAAGUCAGCUAGCUCAUCAUAAGAAGGUGAAGCAAAUUCCUCAUCACUAUCACUAUCAUCAGUAGUAUAAAUAUCAUUUUGUACCUUCCGUUCACCUCUAGCCAUGAGGCAUAGGUGAGGAGUCGAUGAUGGCGAUGGUGGUGGUGAAGAGAAGUCCCCGGUGAUGGCAGCAACUUUUUCAUCAUUCUCUUCUUCACUUGAAGAAGAUCCACUUGAUGACUCAAUGUCAGUGAGCCAGUCACCAACAAUAUAUGCCUUUCCAUUCUUCUUCUUGUGGAACCUCUUUUGCUUCCCAUCCUUCCUCUUGAAGAAUUUCUUUUCCUUCUUUUCAUCAUCGCUAUCAUCUUCUUUCUUGCCCUUGAACUUGUUCUUCUUGGGCUUGUUACAUUGAUGAGCAAGAUGACCGAGCUCACCACAGUUGUAGCAAUCCAUCUCAGAAAUGGGCUUUCUUUUGUUGGAAAAGAAUUUCUUCUUUCUUGAAUCAAAUUUGAUGCCUUCUCUAUUAAGCUUCUUCAACAUCUUGGUGGUCUUCCUUACCAUCAAGGCAAUGUUAGCAUCAAGGUCAUCAUCACUAGAGGAUUCUUCCUCAACUUGUAUUUUUGCUUUUCCUUUUCUUUCAUGAUUUGCUUUGAGAGCCAAAUCCUUUCUUUUGGAAGAUGAUUCUUCUUUGUCGUUGAUGUGCAUGUACAUCUCAUGAGCAUUGAUCUUUCCCAAAAUCUGUGUAGGUGUGGUAACUGAAAGAUCCAUUUGAUGAAGCACAGUGACAAUGUGUCCAUAUUUGUCUAUUGGGAGGACACUGAGAAUCUUCCUCACAACAUCCGGUUGUGAGAUUUGAGUAAGCCCCAAUACAUUAACUUCCUCUACAAGAAUAUUGAGACGUGAGUACAUGGCAUUGGCAUUUUCAUUAGCAAGCAUUUCAAAAGAAUUUAACUUUCUCAUGGCUAUGUGAUAUCUCUCCUCACGCUCACUUCUAGUUCCUUCAUGUAAAGCACAAAUGUCCAUCCACAAAUCAUGAGCAUUUUUAUGAUUUCUUACUCUAUUGAACACGUCUUUGCAAAGGCCUCUAAAAAGGGUGUUUUGGCCUUAGCAUUCUAUUUCUCAUAAUUGAACUCAUCAUCUACAAGAUUUGUGGGAUCUCUAGGUUCGGGGAAUCCUUGUGUGGCGGCUUUAUAGACACCAAUGUCUAUAGCCUCUAAAUAUGCUUCCAUACGAAUUUUCCAAUAUGGAAAAUCGUCACCAUCAAAAACGGGAAGAGGUCCAUCCCCACCGGACAUCGUAACUCUAGCGGUUAAGCUAAUCUACGAGCAACAAGGCUUUGAUACCAAUUGAAAGGAUCACGAUGUCCAAGAGGGGGGGUGAAUUGGGCUUUUCUAAAAAUCAACACUAAUUAAAACCUAAGCAAGAGCCCAACUUCACCCCAACAACUAGCACUAAGAAUAUAAUACUAGAAAUGCAACAAUGCUAAGACAAUACUUCAAAUACUUGCUCAACAAAUACACAAUGUAAAGUGCUUGAAUUAAGUGCGGAAUGUAAAGCAAGGUUUAGAAGACUCCUCCAAUUUUUCCCGAGGUAUCGAGGAGUCGGCACUCUCCACUAGUCCUCGUUGGAGCACCCUCGCAAGGGUAUCGCUCCCCCUUGGUCCUCGCAAGAACCAAGUGCUCACUACGAGAUGAUCCUUUGCCACUCCGGCGCGAUGGAUCCCUCGAGACCGCUUACAAACUUGAGUCAGGUCACCAACAAGAUCUUCACGGUGAUCACCGAGCUCCCAGCGCCACCAAGCCGUCCAGGUGAUGCCGAUCACCAAGAGUAACAAGCCGUAGACUUUCGCUUGACCAAGAGAAGCCUAAUGCAAGUGGUGUGUGCUCUAGGUGGCUCUCGCUAGCGCUAAUGAGGAACAAAUGCGGAUUAGGAUUCUCUAAUCUCUUCACUAGGCUUUUGGUGCUUGCAAUGCUCUAGCAAUGUGCUGGAAUAAAUGUGGGGUGCAAGAAAUUGAAUAUGGUGGGUGGAGGGGGUAUAAAUAGCCCUCACCCACCAACUAGCUGUUACAGGCAUCUCACUGCGCAAUGGCGCACCGGACAGUCCGGUGCGCCACCGGUGCGCCAACGGUCGUUUCCAACAGCUAGUUCUGACAGUUAGCCAUUGGACUCAUGGCACACCGGACAGUGAACAGUCACUGUCUGGUGCACACCGGACAGUCCGGUGCACUGUCUGGUGCGCUGUCCGGUGCGCCACUAUAAUUCAACUCUGAAACCUGUGCUCUCGGGUUUCUGCGUGGGGAAGGCUCUUCCCUGGGCCCACCUGGCAGAGGGUGCACCGGACAGUCCGGUGCCCCAGGGCCAGAAACCCUACUUCUUGUUUUUCAGCCGUUUUUCAAAUCGGUUUUCGUUCUAACUUGUGAGUAAGUUCUAGAGUGACACCUUGCACUAUAUGUGAGUGUGAUUGUGCACCAACACUACACUAGAACUCUCUUGGUCAAACUACUCAUCGACAACCCCUCUUUAUAGUACGGCUAAAAGAGAAUAAAAGACCUAACUAAAUCACGAGUGUCCACAUCUCCUUGACACUCGGACUCCGUAGUCCUUCACCUUUUGUUUCGUCGUUUUAGCCGUCGCUUCGAGUUCUUAUCUCUGGGAUUGUUUUCACCGUUGUAGUACUUCUACCUGUAAUGCGACCUAACUUACCAUUUGUCUCUGCAAAACACACGUUAGUCACAUAUAACAUUAUGUUGUCAUUAAUCACUAAAACCAACCAGGGGCCUAGAUGCUUUCAUCCUUCUCCCAGGAAGACCUUCAACUCAAGGAUUAUCUUCACAAUGAUGCAAUAGUCAUAUCUUGUGUCAUCAAGGGAUUCUUGGUCCACAAUGUCCUAGUGGACAUGGGCAGUGCGAUAGACAUCAUCUUCGUGAAGGCUUUCAGGCAAAUGCAAGAGCCAGAAGACAAGAUACAUGAUGCAACACACCCCCUCUGUGGCUUUAAAGGAAGGCAGGUCGUGGCACUCGGCAAGAUAACUAUGUCGAUCACCUUCGGCUAAGUUCACAAUACAACGGCAGAGCAGGUUGUUUUUGACAUUAUCGAUAUGGAGUACCCCUACAAUGCAAUUAUUGGUCGAGGGACGCUGAAUGCCUUCGAAGCAAUACUCCACCCAGCAUAUCUCUGCAUGAAGAUACCUUCUGACCAAGGGCCUAUUGUUGUACAUGGAAGCCAAGAGGCUGCCAGGAGAGCCGAAGGGAACUGGACGGAUUCGAAAGCCAUCCAUAAUAUAGAUGAAGCCGAAGCUCAUCAACAAUUCAAGCAUAAAAGAGAAAGGGCUGCUUCAGCAGAUCAACCAAAGCCCAUGCUUCUGUGCGAGGACAUAGCCAAGCAGAAGGUACUGUUGGGAUCCCAAUUAUCUGAUGAACAAGAGAAGACUUUGUUGAAAUUCCUAUUCAACAACAAGGAUGUCUUUUCUUGGUCAGCCAAUGAUCUCUUUGGUGUCAAUAGAGAUGCCAUUGAGCACUCACUCAUUGUAGAUCUGGCCUUUAGGACAAGAAAGCAGAGGCUUCAGAAAAUGUUCGACGAUAAAGCCGAAGGCGCACGAAACGAAGUGAAAAGGCUUUUGAGUGCCGGUGUUAUCAGAGAAGUAACAUACCCAGAGUGGCUGACCAAUACUGUGAUGGUAAAGAAAGCUAAUGGAAAAUGGAGAAUGUGCAUCGACUUCACAGAUCUCAAUAAGGCAUGCCCGAAGGAUGAAUUCCCAUUGCCAAGAAUAGAUUCCCUUGUAGAUGUAGUGGUCACUUUAGAGCUUAUGAGCUUAUUGGACUGCUACUCAGGCUAUCAUCAAAUCUGGAUAAAGAAGUAGGAUGAUCCUAAGACAAGUUUCAUAACCCCUAGUGUGACCUAUUGCUACCUUCAGAUGCCUAAGGGGCUCAAGAAUGCUGGAGGAAGCUUCAGCAGGAUGACCGCCAAAGUCCUUCACUCCCAAAUUGGCAAAAAUGUGCUGACAUAUGUUGAUGAUAUCAUAGUAAAGAGCAGAAAGCAAGAAAACCAUGUUGCUGAUUUGCAAGAAACAUUUGCUAACUUCAGAAGGGCUGGUCUUAAACUAAAUCCAGAGAAAUGUGUCUUCGGAGUGAAGAAGGGCAAAUUACUUGGUUGCUUGGUAUCAAUAAAGGGUAUCCAAGAUAAUCCAAGUAAGAUAGAAGCAAUACUUCGGAUGGAGACACCAAAGUCCAGAAAGGGUGCCCAGAGGUUCACAGGGAGGCUGGCAUCAUUGAACAGAUUUAUUUCAAGAUCAGCAGAGAGGAACUUGCCAUUCUUUGAAGUGCUGAAGUCAGUCGAAGUGUUUCAAUGGGGACCAACUCAGCAAAAAGCCUUCGAUGAACUGAAGUAGUAUUUGAUAGAGCUGACAACCUUAAAUCCACCUUCGUCAGGAACUCCAUUGUUGCUAUACGAGCUGCUUCCCACGCUGCGGUUAGUGCAGCGCUUGUACAAGAGAAGCAGGAUGGCCAGGCAAGAGUGCCAGUGUACUUCAUUUCUGAAGUACUUAGUGCAUCAAAGAAAAAUUAUACAGAGUUAGAGAAGGUGCUACAUGCUGUAUUAAUGGCUUCUAGGAAGCUUCAGCAUUACUUCCAAGCAUACCAUAUGAUAGUACCUUCUUCACAACCCCUUAAGGACAUAAUGAGAAAUAGAGAAGACACAUGAAGGAUUGGAAAAUGGGCUAUAGAAUUGAAUGAAUUCACUAUCGACUUCGUUCAUAGAUCUUCGAUCCAAUCCCAAGCAUUAGCAGACUUCAUUGCUGAUUGGACGCCAGAGGCUUAGGACGAAGACAAAACAACUGAUGCAAAGCCCAGACAGUAUUUUGUGAUGGAUCUUGGGGAACCUUUGGUGUAGGAGCAGCUGCUGUUUUGAUUUCACCAUCAAAAAUCAAAACCUGUUAUGCAGCAAGAUUAGACUUCACCUGCACAAAUAACAUUGUAGAGUACGGAGCCCUUCUCUUAGGGCUUCGAAAGCUUAAGGCAAUAGGAAUAAGAAGGGCAAUACUCAAAUCUGACUCACAAGUCAUUUCAGGACACAUUGACAAAAGUAGCAAAGCAAGGGACCCAAAGCUGUAAAAAUAUAUGGACGCAGUCCUAAAGAUGGAAGCCUCUUUCGAAGGUUUCUCUGUAAAAAACUUACCAAGAGGAGAAAAUGAGCACAAAGAUUUGUUAGCCAAAUCAGCGGCACAGGGGCUUCCGUUACCUUCGGAGGUGUUCUUUGAAAUAAUAAAAGCACCUUCGGUUGAGCUUAUGGAAAGGGCAGUGCUCACAAUCUCACCAUUGCACAGUAAAGAUUGGACGACUGAGAUCAUAUCUUUCCUCCAGGGCAAUUGCCUUUCGGAUGACGACGUUUACAAUAAAAGAAUGGAAGCAAGAACACGACCCUAUGUAAUUAUAGUGGGGGAAUUAUACAAACAAGGAGUCUACUCUCCAUUGCUCAAAUGCUUGUCCAAAGCCGAAGGUCAAGAAUUGAUGAAGGAGAUACAUGCAGGGUUGUGUGGAGCUCAUAUUGGGUCUAGGCCUCUGCUAGGGAGGGUUUUUAGACAAGGAUUUUACUAGCCGAAGGCAGCUUCGGAUGCAGUAGAUUUGGUUCAAAAAUGUGAAAAUUGCCAAAGAUGCGCUAGAGACCAGAAACAGCCUUCGUCUUUAACCCAGCUGAUAGAGCCCACUUGGCCACUACAAAGGUGGGGCUUAGAUUUGUUAGGUUCACUUCCACCAGCACAAGGCAACUUGAAAUAUGUUGUAGUGGCAGUGGAGUACUUCUCUAAGUGGAUCAAAGCUAAGUCCUUAGCUACAAUAACUUCGGCCACAGUACAGAAAUUCUUUUGGCAAAAUAUUGUUUGUCGCUUCGGUGUGCCGAAGGCUAUCACGGUUGACAAUGGAACUCAAUUCGAUGCUGAAAUAUUUAAAACCUUUUGUGAUCAGAUUGGUACAGAAAUACACUUUGCAUCAGUGAGACAUCCGGAGUCAAAUGGAUUGGUAGAAAGAGCAAAUGGAAUCAUAAUAACAGGAAUAAUGAAGUCAACUUUCAACUAGCCCAAAGAAAAGUGGCCAGACGAACUAAUAAAGGUGGUGUGGAACCACAACACUGUCGUAUCAAGGUCAACAGGAUUUACUCCAUUCAAUCUUUUGUUUGGUGACGAAGCAAUAACACCAGAAGAAGCAAGAAGGGGCUCAAUAAGGACCUUGGCUUCGACAGAAGAUGAAGAGGAUUGCAAAAUAACAAAAGACACCAUAGAAGGGACUAGGCUCCAUGCAGUAGACCACAUCAAUAAGUACCAGGCUGAAACAAUCAAAUGGCGCGACCGCAAGGUAAAAUUGAAGAAUAUCAAGCUAGGACAUUUGGUGCUUUGUAGAGUGGCCAACCCAGAUAAAGUGGGGAAGCUUCCGCUCAAGUGCGAAGGCCCCUUUUUGGUGGUACCUUCAUCGAGACCUGGAUCCUACAGGCUGAAAGACAUGGAUGGCAAUGACAUACCAAGGUCUUGGAAUGCAGAUGAGCUUCAAAGAUAUUACAUGUAAACUAUGCAAUUUUCUUAUUUUUUUCCUAUGGCACCGUUUUCCUUUCAAGAGAGGAGAAAGGUUUUUAAUGGGGCCAUAUGUUGUAAUUUUCAUUUUUUGUGUAGCCUUGUGCAAUACAAGGGCCAAAUUCCCCCACAUGUAAAAUGUAAAAUCUAUGACUACACCAUCGAGUGUAGAAGCCAUGAAGAAGCUCAAAAGUCGUCCCUAAGGGGAUGCAGAGCUAAGUUGUCACCUAAGAGGUAAGAAGCUCCAAAGUCAUUCCUAAAGGGACGCAGAGUAAGUUAUGAAGCUCCAAUGUCGUUCCUAAGGGAAUGCAGAACUAAAAUACCACCUAAAUCAAAGGUGAAGAAGCUCCAAAGUCAUUCCCAAGGAAAUGCAGAGCUUAAAUACCACCUAAGUAAAAGGUGAGGAGACUCAAAAGUCAUUCCUAUGGGGAUGCAGAGUUUGGAUGUGUUUCUGGCAUACAUUUGCAUAUUUCAUCACAUCAUCUUUUUGCAUUCAUACAGACAUACAUUAGACAUUCAUAGGCUCAUCAUCAUGGCUUAAAGCAUAGACAUUAACGAGAAAAAACAGGAGAUGAUUGUCUUCGAUGAGAAAAUGUUUCGAAGAUGCUUCGUAUCAAAUGAAACUUCGUUGUGCUCCGUUUCAAAUGAAAUCUGGUUGCACAUGAAAAUGCUUUGAUGUGAACGAAAAGAAGGGAAGGUGUUUUUCGCCUAUGGCUCAAAAGGUUACUAGCAUUUGUUUCGCCCGCCUUUAGCCCAAAUUUGAGUAAUAAAUCUAUUCCCUAUGCUUCAGGCUUCGGUUGGAACGUCAACCAGAUCUGAUGAUGAAAGAUUGAAAUUUGGCCUGUUGAUGGCUCUUGCGUGAUUACAUCCGUCUUUUAUGAAGGCAGCAGCUGUACCACGAGAAGCUACCAGCGCACAAAAGUCUCCAUGGUCGGUUAUGACUUCAUCGAGGACAUUAACCUCCUUUUCAAUACAUUCGAGUGCCCCGGGUACAUCUUCGGCAGAGAGGCUGGUUUCCUCAUGCAGCUCCAACUGAAUUGAAAAUACUUCUCAACCGAGCGGUGCAUUUGCUUGCAAACUUGAAGCAUCUCUCCUUCAGAGCCCUCAGCGCCUCACUAAGCUUCGUAUUUUUCUCAGUCGCAACCUUAAGUGUUGCUUUCAAGGCUUUGUUUUCUUGUUCGAAUUGAUUAGAAUUUUCCUUCAAAAGUGUCUAAGAGUCUGAUAGGUCUUUGCUUAACUUCUUGUUCUGAGUUUGCGCUUCAGCAAGGGACCCUUCGGCUGAACAUAGCAUUUUGUCUUUCUCCUUCAAAGAGGCUUUGAGUUCUUUGACCUUAUCCUCUAAACCUUUGAUAAUAAUUUCGUUUUUCCUGUAUUCGUCGUCUUGUUGUAUCUUUAAAGUUUUGCUUAGUAAUAAACUCUAUAAAAAAAGUUCAAACUUAGAAUAUUUAAGCUAAUACAGGCACACCAGGGGUAACUUAAAAUAAGGUACUUACUUUAAAGUUCGAAUAAAACAGGCUCCCUAUGAUAUGCUGGCGCCUGUAACAGCUGAUAUCCUUCUCAAGCUUCAGGAAUCCGAUGCUCUUUGAUAGGGUGCCUAUAAUUUUUGCACCGGCACGAUCGCGGAUGCAUCCUAUAACUUCUUCGUCCACUCCACCAAAGAGCAUGGACCCCGGUUUGUAGCCGUAGUUGAUAGAAAAAUCCUUCAACUCUGCCAUAUCCUCUUUGGAAAGCUGCUGGCCGCCCAGGUGCCGUAGGUCGAAGUCUGCUUCUUCCAAAGAGAUUUCUUUAGCCUUCUUCCUCUUGUCUGAAACUUCUGUGGCCACCUUCUUCUCCACAGCCACGUCUGAUAUAAUCUUGUCAAUAUCGGACAUGGUAGCUGUGAGACCUUCGCCUUCAGUUGCAAUGGUCGUGUCACACCUGGUUCUGGGGGCAAAACCGAAUGCAUAUCAUAUAUGGGUCAUGAUCCAUUUUCCACACAUAUGUUGACGUCACAAGUGUAAUAUAUCAAAAGACAAUGCAAUAAAGGCGUAAAAGGGAGUAGAGUAACUUUAUUACAUCAUCCAGAACAUUGUAUCUUAACAAGUAUCAUAAUCAAAGUACGGUGGAAUUAAACAUGGACACUCUUCCACAGGAAGGUGACUGUCGCUCUUUGGACUCAAAACUCAUCAAUGUCAUCUACGAAGUCUUCGUCAUGACCCUCUGAUCAAAAUAUUAGCAAGGGUGAGCUCACUUAUGGUCGGGGCUCAGCAAGUGGGGGAGAUAAUGCAAAGUUAACAAGGUAGGCUAUGGAUAAGAGGUAAGCAUUUUAGUUGAUCAAUAUUUUAUUAGCAACACCUGUCUUACUAAUAAGUGUGUCCCAAAAAUCCCAAUUAAUCAAAGGCAUAAGAUUAUAUCAAAAACACUUAAGUGAAAUCACUUAAGCAAACCACUAGUAGAUCAUUGGAUCACGAUUUAUUUUCCAUCUUUAAGUUCAAUUAUCAUGUGAGGGUCCAGGUUGCUCUUAACCGUGAGCACGACUGACAUAUCAGUUUUACACUCUGCAGAGGUGGUACAAAUUAACCCACAAGCCGUGUAUCCCAUCUAGCCUGGGUUGAUUGGACCCAUAAACACUGCCGAGGUGAAUGGCUAGGGAUCCACUAUGAGGCUUUCACAGAAUAUCCUUAGUACAAAGCCACCAGCUAAGGUUUCCACGUCAGUAUUGAUGGCCCUCUAGGUGAGGUAACUUAGCCAAGACUACCGCCCCAUGUUAACAUGAGCUGCCAUCAAACCAUUGUCGCUCCCUCUUUCCCAUCUUUCAAGUAGGUUGCUAAGCACUAAGUCUAUAGAGCUAAUUACCAAAGCCAGAGCCAUUAUAGCACUCGUGGUUGCACUAUUAUCCUGGGUGGUCACUCCAUGUUCCAUUUAAUACAAAAUGUUCUUGUUUAACCAUCGGGUUAACAUCAUAAAUAAAACUUCAUUUCCGGAACAUAGUAUCAUUAAAAGAGUGACAUCAUAUUUAUCAAGUUGAGCAAUAGCAAAAAUUGCUAAGCAUAGCAUUUAUCCCAGGGUAAUUCAAGGAAUAGGGUUGGUAAUUCUAGGAAAUCCUUAUUUAGGCAAAUCCCAUCAAAUUAUGCAAUAUCCAAAAAGUAAACAUUAUUUUAUGCAUUAUUUGGGUACAAAUAGAAAUAAUCUACAUCAUAAGUUAAAGAAUCAUGACAAUCUAUGUAUUUUUUCAAAUUAUAAAAAUAAUAUCUAUAUUCAAAAUAUUAUUGUCGGGGUUGAUUCCAAAUUACAUGUAUACUUUGGGGAGUAGCACAUAAGAUUUUAGGACUUAUUUUUGAUACAUUUGUACUGCAGAAAAUACAGGAAUAAUUUCUAGAAAACUGGAGGGCCAAAACACAAAAUGGUCGUCUUCUACCUUGAGUUCGUGCUUGUGUGCAGGGAGGAGCUUGACGGGGGGGAGUCGGCCGGACAGGGAGCAGGGAAGUGGAAGGCGACUCGGUCGAGGUGGCUGGGGACGGGUGCGGCUGGGGGCACAGUGUAGACUGACGGUCUAGUGAGCUCCACGGACGGCGAGGGCGAGCAGAGCAUGGCGCGGGUGAGAGAAAGAGGAGAGGGAGAGCUUGAGCAGGGGAGAGGGAGAGAGCUCGAUCGGUCCUUUUAUAGAGGGAGAGGGGAAUGGGAGAGGGCAUCGGGGGGAGAAGCAAUGGACGGCCAUCAAUGGCCCUAAUGGCGGCGGUGACGAUUUCUUCAAUAAUGGCGAGGAGAAGUGUGUUAGGGAGAGGAGGAGGUGGCGCGACGGUUUCUGGUGCAGUGGAAACCGAGGGGACGAGGGCCGGGGCACGGGGUCGACGUCCGGGCAGCUCGGCGGGGGCGCUCCUGCGUGGGCGCAAAGACGAGGAAGAAAGGGCACCUGGCGGGUGGGGCCCGUAGGUAAGUGAGAGAGGGAGAGGGUAGAUGGGGAGAUGGCGGCCGGUUUGGGCCUAAUGGGCCAAAUUGGCUAGCUCGUCUAGGGUUUCAAAAUUUUCUUUUUUUCCUUUUUUUCUUUUUACCAAAAAUAUAAUCAAAUAUAUUUUUAAAUAUAUCUAAAAAUCAUAAUAAUUAUCUAAAAUUAUUUAUGACCAAAAUAUUUAUUUUUGGACCAAUAUUUCUAUAUUAAUUAAUUGGAUUUUCAAUAUAAAAUAAAUUCUACGAAACAACCAUAAAUCAAAUAUGAGCAAACAAAAUUAUUCUAAAUGCAAAUAAAAAUCAAACACGUGAAAGAAAAAUUCAUUACUAUAUUUACCACUAAUAAUCUAAAUGCAUUAUUUUUAGUUGAUGGUUUUGUGGUGUUACAGGCAGCUUUGGCAUCAAUAGGUUUGACAGUCUUGUCUGCCGAAGCUGGAGGUGGGGUUUGCUCAAUCGCCUGUAGUAUCAUACGUCGCUUUUUUGUCCCCCGUCUCUUCCAUCGGUAGCCAAAGGGAUUUCCUUUUUCUAAAAAAGGUUUGUCAGUUCCAAUCCUAGAGGACUUAGCAGCUUGAAUGGUGGGGAUUCAGUCAUUACCUUCAAAAUUUCUCACACUUCGACAACAGAAGGUGACAGAGGGCUUGAAGUUUUCUUCGGCGCAUCAUGUACAUUCAGUUCGACAGAAGGCAUCCAGUCAGGCUUCCGUUCCUUAGGAGCUAGUGCCUUCAGCUUCGAAGCUGUUUUCAUUUUCUUCGAAGCCUCCUCGUCUUCCUUCACAGACCGGGCAGCUUGCCUGCUCAAAAUACUAACAACCCUUUUCCUUUUCGCUCCCCUGGCCCCUUCAUCAAGUCUGUCAUAAUCCGGGUACUCGAAGUUCAGGGCAUCCAUUACCCGAUUUAACCUUCGUUUCGGCCGGGUGCCGAAGGCAGCAGUCAUUAGUUGAUCUUCCUUUGUGUAGUUCCCAAGGAUCUCAUUACACAUGGUCUCUAUCAUCUCUAACCAUUCAGUACACGGUUUCUUGAAUUGCUUCUCAAAUUUGAAGCGGAAGGGGAGUCGAACAAGUUCAUAUUUCUUUCCCCCUUCCUUCUUCUUCGGCAUCCCCCAGCCGCUAGAGGUUGGAAAAGUUUUUGUCGCAGAACCUCCCAAGUUAUCGGGCCCACAUGCACCUGUCCUUGUCUCAAAGACCUUAGACGACUAUGCAUGUGCACCAAACAACUUAACAGGAUCUGUCCGAGUGCCCCAAGGACCCCGGAUAAACGACUUACCGCCAAGAUCGCAGGAUUAAGUAAUCACAAAUCACACACCAACAUUUGCAGCGGAAAUUCUUUAUUACAAAAUGGUUACAAGUUACAACAGUUACAAGUUAUAACAAGAUUACAAUAUAUAUCAUCGGAGUUGAUUACAAAAGAAAUUUAUUCAAAAAGAUUACAAUUUGAAUGUAUAAAACAUUUAUAAGUUUUAAAAUACAUGCUAGCUUAAGAGACAAUCCUCGAUAGAGAAGCUAAAGAUGGGAUAUACUUAUAUAAGAAGGCCGAGCCCACCGACACUUAGCACCAUCCACAACAGAACAAAAUUAUAACCUGAAAAACAACAGGGAAUAAAACCCUGAGUAUGGACUUACUCAGCAAGACUUACCCGACUAAAGAAAAGACUCUCAAGGGUAUGCUGGUUUGUUGGGAAUCAAGGUAAAGCUCAUCAAAUUUCAAACACUCGUUUUUGCAGAAAAGCUUACUAGUAGUGGAUGCUUAUGCCAAACUUUUACUUCACAGAUUAAGUACUUUUCCUGAAUCUAGAUUUGCCUAAUCUAGAGCAUUCACUUAUCCUACACUAGCUUCCUUUUAGCAACUUUAGUUUCACUUGUUAUCUACGAUGCAGGGCAGUGAUCCAGUCUUCAUAUCUGAGAAGUAACGGCGAUCCGAAUCAAUUAAUACUCAGUUGAGGAUCUCCAACCACACGACAUAUGUAUCACUUAACCCUUGCAUAUGUCAACUCGCCCACGGGUUUCUCAAGACCAGAACGGGUCCCCGCCAACCGAGAGCUCAGUACCCCACCAUCCAGCCUCUUGCCAGGUGGAUACACGAUACUCUCGCCAUCUCUCCACUCCCAUUGCGGGCCAGCCUUUCUGAUUUUGGUCCAGCCGAGGCUAAGCUUACCCAUGACGAGGCAUGUGGCCAGUUAAAGGGUCCUAGAUCAGCAAUCCUACUUUCGGUACGAUCCUUAAUCGACACAGACGGGCGACCUUUCCUGUUCAACGUCUGGUCUCAUAUUAUUAUUUCCUUCCCAAAACCAUGUACCUGACAGAGGUACCAUACUUGAAUGAUGAAUUCAUCACUGCAGAUGAUGCUCUCACCAUUACAAGUCCUUUUUCAUAAAACUAACCCAUACCAGUGUUACACAGCAUUCUUUUAAAAAUAAUCAAGUUUUAGUUCUCUAGGCAGGGCUAAGCCUCAUUAGUUCUCUUUAUAAAACAGGUAGCAAGGAGGAUAAUCAAAUUCCAAGGAAUGGUAAUGCAUCAAUUGUUUAUUCACACAACUCCUAUCACCUAAUGCAGCAGGUAAGUGAUAAAAGUUUUUAAAACAGAAGUAGGUGGCAAAUGCACCGGGGCUUGCCUGGGAUAACACUACGUUAGUGUUGUUAGAUGACGUCCACGUGGCGAUCAUCUCACAUCCUGGCGCUUGAUCAGAUCACGCAAAUCUUCAAGUUUAUUCAUCAGUAUUCCUUGCGAAGAAGCCCACGCUUAACACCAUAUUGUGGUCGACUCAGCUCUGGUCCACCAUAUCACAUGAUCACUUAACAUACCUAAAUGAUAUGCAUAAUGCACAUGGGCAUGGGCAUAAAAAGCACAAUAUAUAAUCUAUACUAAGGGCUUGUUCGUUUUGCUCUCAAUCCAUGUGGAUUGGGUGGGAUUGGAUGAGUUUCAAUCCCAAACAAGUCAAAAUCUUUCACAAUUUUUUCCAAUCCCAUCCAAUCCACAUGGGAUAGGAAUAACCGAACAAGCCCUAAAGAGGAUAACACUUAAAACAAACAUUAAAACCCUUGGGGGUAACUACUAGAUACAUUUAAUUCUAUAUCACUCAUGACCUUCUAGUCAAAUGGACCUAACCAGAUAUCAAGAAAGCAAUACAUCAUUUUUAGACAACAAGGCAUUUGAUCAAGCAUUUAUUUGCAACUAUGUAAGCAUAAGGACAUAGACGAAGCUAAUCCCAAGUCACACGUAUUGUAAUCAAUGAAUUACUAGUUAAUUAAGCUGCAUGAUCAUUACUACCUGGAUACCUUACUCUCCAAACAAAAACUCAAGUACCAGCAUGAGAAGGCCUAGAUAUAUACAAAUCCACAAUACUAUCCCUUACUAACUUUCAAUUAGUAAUAGAGAACACUUAAACGACAUGACCUGAUAGAAUCAAUAUGACAAACCACUAAUGAACCAUAAGUAAAUCUCCAUCUAUGACAUUUACUCAAUCAACAAAUAUAAAAUAUGACAAUUACUAAAACAAGCCAUCACUUCAUCAAUUAAGAAUAAAAAAUUGACUAAUCCAACCUAGCCAAACAAGAAUGACUCCAAACAAUCAAUUUAACACAUGCAGAUUUUGGACAGCAGUACAGUAGUCAACAGUUUUGCUCAUAACAUGCAAAAUAUGCAUCCAAAAAUCGUGAACUAAGACUUUCUAGAAAGCUUAAGAAGUCCUCUACAACUUUUGUAUUAUCAUCAUAGUGAGACUUGACACUUAGGAUGGUCAAACAAUGCUAAACGUAAAUUCUGUCCAGAUUUGAACAGAAUUCGACUACUUACUUCAAAAAUUUAUAACUGGAGUUUCAGGCAUCCAAAUCAGGUGAUCCUAGACUUUUUAGAAAGCUAUUAGAGUUGUCUACAAUUCAUUUAUAAACAUCUCAAGGUGAUUCAAUGUGCAUCGACGUCAGUUAAUACAAACAAACAUUGCUGUUCAGAUUUGGACAUAUUCAGACUCUAUAGUUCAAAGAGCUGUAACUUGGUCUCUAUACCACCAAAAAGGGUGUCCAAAAUUUUUUAGAAAGCUUAAGCAAAGUACUACAAUUUUCCUAUAAUUACUAAGAGCUGAUUCUCAGUUUAACUUGGGAAAACAAUGUCAUUUUCCAAAUCUGUACAGAAUCUGGACAUAUUCUGAAACUGGACUUGGAAAAGUCAUAACUCCUAAACUACUAAACCUAUGAUCAUGAAAUUUUUACACAAGUAAGAUAAAGAAAUUAUCUACAACUUUUAUAUAUCACACUUUCACAGAAAAUAUGAUUUACUUUACUAAACCAGCUGCAUAAAUAAAAUCGUACCUCCAGCCCUAAACAGCAGGAAUUCCAGCUUAGUUCCUAUUUAAGUUAACCACACCUUACCAACUCCUUUAUCAAAGCAUCCAUUGCCUAAUUUGCAUCAUAAACCAAUCUUUAGAUCAAACAAGAAAAAGGGGUACUGUGCUUGCCUGGGCCGGUUUUCACCUUUUCGGCCCAGCUUCCGAUCCCUUCUGCGCGGCCCACUCCUCCACCGCGCGCUUCCGCUCUCACCUCCGCGUGGGGCCCGGACGUCAGGAACUCCUUCUCCCUCCCGUAUCCACUUUUCUGUUGGGCGCUGUUUCUCUUCCUGGCGAGAUCUCCGCUGAGCUCGAUCCAGUGAUGAAAUUCGUUGGGAUCCCCGGGUCUCUCGCUUGCCGUUCUAAACGACCGUGGACUGGCUCCCCUAGGCUCGGACCUCGUAGCUUGUAUAAAGCUGAGCCUCCCUUCCGCUCCCUUCGCCCGAUCCGACCUGCGCCCUCUUCCAUUCCCCACUGCCUCUCGCGCGCAAGUCCUGGGUGCCGUUGUUGCUUGAAUUUGGGGGCGACCAGCUUCGGCCGCCGUCAUUACCAUCAAUGGCGAGGUCGCUGGGGAGUCCACACGAAGCAUCGCCGCACGGCAAUCUGGAAGCGAGGGUGUCGACUAAUUGUACUGCGGUGGGUGGGGGUCGCGCACGGCCGCCGGAGGAAUCACGCCUGCGCCUUCAAAUGGUCACGGCGUGUGGCUUCGGGGUGUUCAGUUGGCCAUCGCGAAGUCGAUUCGGGGGUUCGGUGCACUCGAGGAGUCCUUCGGGUGGGGCGAUUUCUCGCUGAUGUGAUGAACGACCGCCGUGUCCGUCGCUCACCGCGGGAGGCCUCACCGGUGCCAUAAUAACAGGUAUGGAUCUCUCCUCUGUGUUCGCCGCACCCUCAAUUUUGGUUAGCAACCGUCCAACGGCGCGUAGAUCCGCGUAUGCACUGGAUUGGGUGCUCACCGACGUUCUCCGCCGUGGUGAUCACCUGGGCAUCGCGACCGGGGCUCUCUGGACGCGUGAGGUAGGAGACGCUCUGGUCACCGUUGGAUCUUCACCGACGGCGUAGAUUAGACUGGGUCUAGCGCUUUAGAGUAUCGCAUCUGGGGCGUUAGAUCGAGAUCCGAGGGCCACAGCUCGAUCUCUCCUUCAUUAAAUCCGGGCGGCUGAUCUCAUAUCGGAUGGAGGGGAUCGCAUACCGGUUCGCGAUGUAAUCUUGGCCGCUAGAUCAUAAUCUAGCGACACAGAUUCGCCCACCAUUAUGACUGCCUGGUAGUUUUAUAGAAGAGCCCCUGGAAAUUACUAGAAAUAACCCGCAGUCCCAUUCUGGGAGUAGAUGAGUCUUAGCAUAUCUUGCGCAGAGGCCCCUAUGUCUCUGUUUAAUUGGCGCCCAGUCCUGGGAAUUAGAAAAAUCCAGAAAAGUAAUUAGGAAAGGAAUUUCUAAUGUAAAAAUAAAUACUAGGACUUGUUUAAUUCAUAUAAAAUUCAUAUUAAGUCUAAAUGAGUACAUUCCAGUUCUUAUAAUUUUAUAAUAUUAUCGAUUAUCAAAUAGUGCCACUGAUUUGACAUGAAAGCCACUUUAAAAUCUAUUUCCUAAUUAAUCUUAUAUGAAAUACAUAAAACCUUAGGAAAUUCAUAACUUCUCCGCUUUGACUCCGAUUUGAUCCGUUCAAGUUGCGUUAGUCUCAUAGAAACGCGUAGAUCAUUAUUUUGCAGUAUGUUCUUAUGUUUGGUGUGAUGUUAAUUUUGUCUAUACCAUGUAUGUUUGUAUGGCUACGACUAGCAGUGAGGUUUCGAGGAUUUGAAGAAUCACCCUGGUAAUUGGAAUCUCAAGUCCUAGGCAAGUUGUGCCCUUGAUCACUUCUUUUACCCACUCAUGUUCUAAUUAAUCAUAAUGAGCUGCAUAGGUUAAUUUUGAUGGGACCCAAUAGGUUACCCUAGUUUGUCUAUCUUUAUGCCUUGUUUACCACUGAACUUUUUGGGUAGUACUUGCUAGUGCUAUAUGUGGUUUUGGGCAUUGAGAUACACAUUAUUCAUGAUUAUACUUUUGUUAUCCGUUGUUAUUUACUGUUCAUGUCAAGAUCAUUAAUGUUAAUUGGAACAUAGAGCUUAACUUGAGAAACACGUGCCACCACAAGGGUUUAUGGACGCCCUUGGCUGAUUAAUUAGGAAAGCUAGUGGAGGACUACCUUACCCGAAAGGGGCAAGGGCAGUAGGGGAGUGGUCAGUGUAGGGAGGCCCUCGGGAGGAUUUUGCUGCGAUGGCGGUCCUGCAAGGGAUUCCUGCAUUGGAGCUUCCUAUAAACUGUAGCGGGUUUUCUGAAGCUAGUGGAACUUUGUAAAGGCCUCGUAGUGUUACCCUGCCUCGCCUCCUCGGUAGAGGUGUAUGGGAAGUCGCGAUCCCUUGGCAGAUGGGUAACAUGACUUGUGGGUAAAGGGUACCACCUCUGCAGAGUGUAAAACUGGUAUACUAGCCGAGCUCACGGUCAUGAGCAGCUCAGGACUCUCUGAUGAUUAAUUUAUGGAACUAAAUUCAAUUUGUCAUAUGCAUUGCAUCGCAGGUGAUGAUGUUACUUUUGUUCCACUACUUAAUUGGGUUGGUAUUUACUUAUACUUAAUAAUUGCUAAUAAAAUUUUGACCAACUUUAAAAGCAAUGCCCAGCUCUAACCAUCCUCUUUGGUAAGCCUUACACUUCACGUGAGCUCCCACCUUUGGCGAGUUCAUGCACAUUAUUCCCCACAACUUGUUGAGCGAUGAACGUAUGUGAGCUCACUCUUGCUGUCUCACACCCCCCCCACAGGUCAAGACCAGGUACCACAGGAUGAGGCGCUUGGAGGAUGCUGUGAUGUGUUCGUGAGAGAUCUAGGCCGUCGUCUCCCAGUCAACUUUGGGUUGCUGGACCGUUGUCUCCUUAUAAUGUAAUUAUUUAUUUAUUUUGUAUGGAAUUCCUGUUAAGUAGUAAAGAUGUGACAUUCGAUCCUGUGCCAUGAUUCAUCAUAUGUGUGAGACUUGGUCCCAGCACACCUGGUGAUUAUGUUCGCGCCCGGGUUUUGGACCCCUAAAAUCCGGGUGUGACAGAAGUGGUAUCAGAGGAAUGUUGACUGUAGGACGAAACCUAGAUAGAACUGGACAACCAUUAUCUACUUACCUUUGCUACUCUGAUUCUUUUCUAAACUUAUCUUAAUCUUUUCUCAUCUAUCUCCGCUUUACUCUGAUUAUUCUUACCUUUUCUUUCUAAAUACAACUGUGGAUUUCACACUUUGAAAUCCUGUACCUAAAGUGACCUUUAGGAAUAGGAGACCUACUCUUAGGAAAAAAAACAAAACUAUUUUUUUAUCUAUAUGCUUGAAUGUUUGUUCUUAUGAUACUUGUCUGAUUUGGAUCUUUGAUUGAGUGUGAUGGGUUGUGGAGUAAUGUCCACAAUUACAUCCGCAUAUACGUAUAGGCAUAAAUGGAAUUCAUAAAAUAACUAGCCAACUUGGAUUAUCCCCCACUAAAAUAUGUUAAGCUUAAUAGAUCUACGUUAUCUUAAAAGACACUUUAUUACUUUAGUAGACUCAUCUUAUCUUGAAAAGACUUUAUCUCACCUUAAUAGAUCUAACUGACCUCAAAAGAUUCCCUCUUAUCUUAAUAGAUCCAUCUUAUCUUAAAAAAUUAUAUCUUAUCCUAAUAGGAUCAUCUUAUCCUAACCACUUUACUUAUCUCAUCCUAAAGUAACAACCAUGAUCUAAUUAAGAAGGUCCUAUCUAGUCUAUCUAGUCAUAACAAUCUAACCUAGAUCUGAUCCAGUGUGAUAGAAUAAUCUAACCUAAUGAAGGCUAACCCUAAGUGGAGCUAAUCUAAUGUAAGUUACUUAAUGCUGGUACAAAGGAUAAGGCCAUACUCCUAAUCCACUUAAGACUAAAUUGGUGACUUAAAUCAACUCGGUUAUACCCAACAACUUGACCUACAUAACAGAUCAAUCUUAGCCUCUUGUCCCAAACCCGGAUGGAGACGCCAAAGAGCAAGAAGGAGGAGACCAACCUCGACAUGGAAGAAUAGGAGUCAAAUCAGAUCACAAGAUGAUUCAAGAUUUACCACCUUGGAUGGAGCCUUCCCUUACCAAGUUCUUCUUACCAUCAGCUAACCUCACUCUGCCCAUCUCUCUUCUUACCUAACUGUGUUCCUAAACAUCGAAGAUACCCAUGCUCUCCUAAUCACUCACUAAUGAAAAAAAAGGACUCUUGAUUUUUGAACUAAUUAGAAACUAAAAGCUAAAAUUCUAAAACACUCUUCCCAUAUCCUCUUUCUUACAAAUCUCGGGGACGAGAUUAUUUUUAAGGGGGGUAGGAUUUGUAACACCCACUUUGUAAUUUGCUAGAAAUAAUACCAAUAGAUAAACAAUUUCUCUUUAUGUGAGUUUGAUCUUUAUGCAUCAUCAUAUGUGAACACCAUGCCCAAAAACAAUUAAUAAAAAGAUAUGCUACUUAACCAUUGCAUCAUGCUGAAUAUUUUAUUUGUCUGUGUGCAUUUUUUUUUUGACAAUAUUAUAAUAAUGUAAAAAAAAUAUGUUAAAUAUCCAGAUGGGGAUUUAAAUCCUAAAAUAAUUCUAGAAUCAAGAAAAGAGAGAAGGAAAAGAUUAUACAAAAUAGAGGAAAAUAAAUAUAUGAAAUAUUACAUUUUGUCUCUACUAAUAUUUUAAUUUAGGCAUUUAACUCAGGUAGGAAGCUCACAAACAAGUUUGAAUUCAAAAUGGAGAUUUAAAAGUGAAAAGAAAAGAAAAUGAAAAAAAAGAAAAAGGGGUACUGUGCUUGCCUGGGCCGGUUUUCACCUUUUCGGCCCAGCUUCCGAUCCCUUCUGCGCGGCCCACUCCUCCACCGCGCGCUUCCGCUCUCACCUCCGCGUGGGGCCCGGACGUCAGGAACUCCUUCUCCCUCCCGUAUCCACUUUUCUAUUGGGCGCUGUUUCUCUUCCUGGCGAGAUCUCCGCUGAGCUCGAUCCAGUGAUGAAAUUCGUUGGGAUCCCCGGGUCUCUCGCUUGCCGUUCUAAACGACCGUGGACUGGCUCCCCUAGGCUCGGACCUCGUAGCUUGUAUAAAACUGAGCCUCCCUUCCGCUCCCUUCGCCCGAUCCGACCUGCGCCCUCUUCCAUUCCCCACUGCCUCUCGCGCGCAAGUCCUGGGUGCCGUUGUUGCUUGAAUUUGGGGGCGACCAGCUUCGGUCGCCGUCAUUACCAUCAAUGGCGAGGUCGCUGGGGAGUCCACACGAAGCAUCGCCGCACGGCAAUCUGGAAGCGAGGGUGUCGACUAAUUGUACUGCGAUGGGUGGGGGUCGCGCACGGCCGCCGGAGGAAUCACGCCUGCGCCUUCAAAUGGUCACGGCGUGUGGCUUCGGGGUGUUCAGUUGGCCAUCGCGAAGUCGAUUCGGGGGUUCGGUGCACUCGAGGAGUCCUUCGGGUGGGGCGAUUUCUCGCCGAUGUGAUGAACGACCGCCGUGUCCGUCGCUCACCGCGGGAGGCCUCACCGGUGCCAUAAUAACAGGUAUGGAUCUCUCCUCUGUGUUCGCCGCACCCUCAAUUUUGGUUAGCAACCGUCCAACGGCGCGUAGAUCCGCGUAUGCACUGGAUUGGGUGCUCACCGACGUUCUCCGCCGUGGUGAUCACCUGGGCAUCGCGACCGGGGCUCUCUGGACGCGUGAGGUAGGAGACGCUCUGGUCACCGUUGGAUCUUCACCGACGGCGUAGAUUAGACUGGGUCUAGCGCUUUAGAGUAUCGCAUCUGGGGCGUUAGAUCGAGAUCCGAGGGCCACAGCUCGAUCUCUCCUUCAUUAAAUCCGGGCGGCUGAUCUCAUAUCGGAUGGAGGGGAUCGCAUACCGGUUCGCGAUGUAAUCUUGGCCGCUAGAUCAUAAUCUAGCGACACAGAUUCGCCCACCAUUAUGACUGCCUGGUAGUUUUAUAGAAGAGCCCCUGGAAAUUACUAGAAAUAACCCGCAGUCCCAUUCUGGGAGUAGAUGAGUCUUAGCAUAUCUUGCGCAGAGGCCCCUAUGUCUCUGUUUAAUUGGCGCCCAGUCCUGGGAAUUAGAAAAAUCCAGAAAAGUAAUUAGGAAAGGAAUUUCUAAUGUAAAAAUAAAUACUAGGACUUGUUUAAUUCAUAUAAAAUUCAUAUUAAGUCUAAAUGAGUACAUUCCAGUUCUUAUAAUUUUAUAAUAUUAUCGAUUAUCAAAUAGUGCCACUGAUUUGACAUGAAAGCCACUUUAAAAUCUAUUUCCUAAUUAAUCUUAUAUGAAAUACAUAAAACCUUAGGAAAUUCAUAACUUCUCCGCUUUGACUCCGAUUUGAUCCGUUCAAGUUGCGUUAGUCUCAUAGAAACGCGUAGAUCAUUAUUUUGCAGUAUGUUCUUAUGUUUGGUGUGAUGUUAAUUUUGUCUAUACCAUGUAUGUUUGUAUGGCUACGACUAGCAGUGAGGUUUCGAGGAUUUGAAGAAUCACCCUGGUAAUUGGAAUCUCAAGUCCCAGGCAAGUUGUGCCCUUGAUCACUUCUUUUACCCACUCAUGUUCUAAUUAAUCAUAAUGAGCUGCAUAGGUUAAUUUUGAUGGGACCCAAUAGGUUACCCUAGUUUGUCUAUCUUUAUGCCUUGUUUACCACUGAACUUUUUGGGUAGUACUUGCUAGUGCUAUAUGUGGUUUUGGGCAUUGAGAUACACAUUAUUCAUGAUUAUACUUUUGUUAUCCGUUGUUAUUUACUGUUCAUGUCAAGAUCAUUAAUGUUAAUUGGAACAUAGAGCUUAACUUGAGAAACACGUGCCACCACAAGGGUUUAUGGACGCCCUUGGCUGAUUAAUUAGGAAAGCUAGUGGAGGACUACCUUACCCGAAAGGGGCAAGGGCAGUAGGGGAGUGGUCAGUGUAGGGAGGCCCUCGGGAGGAUUUUGCUGCGAUGGCGGUCCUGCAAGGGAUUCCUGCAUUGGAGCUUCCUAUAAACUGUAGCGGGUUUUCAGAAGCUAGUGGAACUUUGUAAAGGCCUCGUAGUGUUACCCUGCCUCGCCUCCUCGGUAGAGGUGUAUGGGAAGUCGCGAUCCCUUGGCAGAUGGGUAACAUGACUUGUGGGUAAAGGGUACCACCUCUGCAGAGUGUAAAACUGGUAUACUAGCCGAGCUCACGGUCAUGAGCAGCUCAGGACUCUCUGAUGAUUAAUUUAUGGAACUAAAUUCAAUUUGUCAUAUGCAUUGCAUCGCAGGUGAUGAUGUUACUUUUGUUCCACUACUUAAUUGGGUUGGUAUUUACUUAUACUUAGUAAUUGCUAAUAAAAUUUUGACCAACUUUAAAAGCAAUGCCCAGCUCUAACCAUCCUCUUUGGUAAGCCUUACACUUCACGUGAGCUCCCACCUUUGGCGAGUUCAUGCACAUUAUUCCCCACAACUUGUUGAGCGAUGAACGUAUGUGAGCUCACUCUUGCUGUCUCACACCCCCCCACAGGUCAAGACCAGGUACCACAGGAUGAGGCGCUUGGAGGAUGCUGUGAUGUGUUCGUGAGAGAUCUAGGCCGUCGUCUCCCAGUAAACUUUGGGUUGCUGGACCGUUGUCUCCUUAUAAUGUAAUUAUUUAUUUAUUUUGUAUGGAAUCCUGUUAAGUAGUAAAGAUGUGACAUUCGAUCCUGUGCCAUGAUUCAUCAUAUGUGUGAGACUUGGUCCCAGCACACCUGGUGAUUAUGUUCGCGCCCGGGUUUUGGACCCCUAAAAUCCGGGUGUGACAGAAGUGGUAUCAGAGGAAUGUUGACUGUAGGACGAAACCUAGAUAGAACUGGACAACCAUUAUCUACUUACCUUUGCUACUCUGAUUCUUUUCUAAACUUAUCUUAAUCUUUUCUCAUCUAUCUCCGCUUUACUCUGAUUAUUCUUACCUUUUCUUUCUAAAUACAACUGUGGAUUUCACACUUUGAAAUCCUGUACCUAAAGUGACCUUUAGGAAUAGGAGACCUACUCUUAGGAAAAAAAAACAAAACUAUUUUUUUAUCUAUAUGCUUGAAUGUUUGUUCUUAUGAUACUUGUCUGAUUUGGAUCUUUGAUUGAGUGUGAUGGGUUGUGGAGUAAUGUCCACAAUUACAUCCGCAUAUACGUAUAGGCAUAAAUGGAAUUCAUAAAAUAACUAGCCAACUUGGAUUAUCCCCCACUAAAAUAUGUUAAGCUUAAUAGAUCUACGUUAUCUUAAAAGACACUUUAUUACUUUAGUAGACUCAUCUUAUCUUGAAAAGACUUUAUCUCACCUUAAUAGAUCUAACUGACCUCAAAAGAUUCCCUCUUAUCUUAAUAGAUCCAUCUUAUCUUAAAAAAAUUAUAUCUUAUCCUAAUAGGAUCAUCUUAUCCUAACCACUUUACUUAUCUCAUCCUAAAGUAACAACCAUGAUCUAAUUAAGAAGGUCCUAUCUAGUCUAUCUAGUCAUAACAAUCUAACCUAGAUCUGAUCCAGUGUGAUAGAAUAAUCUAACCUAAUGAAGGCUAACCCUAAGUGGAGCUAAUCUAAUGUAAGUUACUUAAUGCUGGUACAAAGGAUAAGGCCAUACUCCUAAUCCACUUAAGACUAAAUUGGUGACUUAAAUCAACUCGGUUAUACCCAACAACUUGACCUACAUAACAGAUCAAUCUUAGCCUCUUGUCCCAAACCCGGAUGGAGACGCCAAAGAGCAAGAAGGAGGAGACCAACCUCGACAUGGAAGAAUAGGAGUCAAAUCAGAUCACAAGAUGAUUCAAGAUUUACCACCUUGGAUGGAGCCUUCCCUUACCAAGUUCUUCUUACCAUCAGCUAACCUCACUCUGCCCAUCUCUCUUCUUACCUAACUGUGUUCCUAAACAUCGAAGAUACCCAUGCUCUCCUAAUCACUCACUAAUGAAAAAAAAGGACUCUUGAUUUUUGAACUAAUUAGAAACUAAAAGCUAAAAUUCUAAAACACUCUUCCCAUAUCCUCUUUCUUACAAAUCUCGGGGACGAGAUUAUUUUUAAGGGGGGUAGGAUUUGUAACACCCACUUUGUAAUUUGCUAGAAAUAAUACCAAUAGAUAAACAAUUUCUCUUUAUGUGAGUUUGAUCUUUAUGCAUCAUCAUAUGUGAACACCAUGCCCAAAAACAAUUAAUAAAAAGAUAUGCUACUUAACCAUUGCAUCAUGCUGAAUAUUUUAUUUGUCUGUGUGCAUUUUUUUUUGACAAUAUUAUAAUAAUGUAAAAAAAAUAUGUUAAACAUCCAGAUGGGGAUUUAAAUCCUAAAAUAAUUCUAGAAUCAAGAAAAGAGAGAAGGAAAAGAUUAUACAAAAUAGAGGAAAAUAAAUAUAUGAAAUAUUACAUUUUGUCUCUACUAAUAUUUUAAUUUAGGCAUUUAACUCAGGUAGGAAGCUCACAAACAAGUUUGAAUUCAAAAUGGAGAUUUAAAAGUGACAAGAAAAGAAAAUGAAAAAAAAAGAAAAAGGGGUACUGUGCUUGCCUGGGCCGGUUUUCACCUUUUCGGCCCAGCUUCCGAUCCCUUCUGCGCGGCCCACUCCUCCACCGCGCGCUUCCGCUCUCACCUCCGCGUGGGGCCCGGACGUCAGGAACUCCUUCUCCCUCCCGUAUCCACUUUUCUAUUGGGCGCUGUUUCUCUUCCUGGCGAGAUCUCCGCUGAGCUCGAUCCAGUGAUGAAAUUCGUUGGGACCCCCGGGUCUCUCGCUUGCCGUUCUAAACGACCGUGGACUGGCUCCCCUAGGCUCGGACCUCGUAGCUUGUAUAAAGCUGAGCCUCCCUUCCGCUCCCUUCGCCCGAUCCGACCUGCGCCCUCUUCCAUUCCCCACUGCCUCUCGCGCGCAAGUCCUGGGUGCCGUUGUUGCUUGAAUUUGGGGGCGACCAGCUUCGGCCCCCGUCAUUACCAUCAAUGGCGAGGUCGCUGGGGAGUCCACACGAAGCAUCGCCGCACGGCAAUCUGGAAGCGAGGGUGUCGACUAAUUGUACUGCGGUGGGUGGGGGUCGCGCACGGCCGUCGGAGGAAUCACGCCUGCGCCUUCAAAUGGUCACGGCGUGUGGCUUCGGGGUGUUCAGUUGGCCAUCGCGAAGUCGAUUCGGGGGUUCGGUGCACUCGAGGAGUCCUUCGGGUGGGGCGAUUUCUCGCCGAUGUGAUGAACGACCGCCGUGUCCGUCGCUCACCGCGGGAGGCCUCACCGGUGCCAUAAUAACAGGUAUGGAUCUCUCCUCUGUGUUCGCUGCACCCUCAAUUUUGGUUAGCAACCGUCCAACGGUGCGUAGAUCCGCGUAUGCACAGGAUUGGGUGCUCACCGACGUUCUCCGCCGUUGUGAUCACCUGGGCAUCGCGACCGGGGCUCUCUGGACGCGUGAGGUAGGAGACGCUCUGGUCACCGUUGGAUCUUCACCGACGGCGUAGAUUAGACUGGGUCUAGCGCUUUAGAGUAUCGCAUCUGGGGCGUUAGAUCGAGAUCCGAGGGCCACAGCUCGAUCUCUCCUUCAUUAAAUCCGGGCGGCUGAUCUCAUAUCGGAUGGAGGGGAUCGCAUACCGGUUCGCGAUGUAAUCUUGGCCGCUAGAUCAUAAUCUAGCGACACAGAUUCGCCCACCAUUAUGACUGCCUGGUAGUUUUAUAGAAGAGCCCCUGGAAAUUACUAGAAAUAACCCGCAGUCCCAUUCUGGGAGUAGAUGAGUCUUAGCAUAUCUUGCGCAGAGGCCCCUAUGUCUCUGUUUAAUUGGCGCCCAGUCCUGGGAAUUAGAAAAAUCCAGAAAAGUAAUUAGGAAAGGAAUUUCUAAUGUAAAAAUAAAUACUAGGACUUGUUUAAUUCAUAUAAAAUUCAUAUUAAGCCUAAAUGAGUACAUUCCAGUUCUUAUAAUUUUAUAAUAUUAUCGAUUAUCAAAUAGUGCCACUGAUUUGACAUGAAAGCCACUUUAAAAUCUAUUUCCUAAUUAAUCUUAUAUGAAAUACAUAAAACCUUAGGAAAUUCAUAACUUCUCCGCUUUGACUCCGAUUUGAUCCGUUCAAGUUGCGUUAGUCUCAUAGAAACGCGUAGAUCAUUAUUUUGCAGUAUGUUCUUAUGUUUGGUGUGAUGUUAAUUUUGUCUAUACCAUGUAUGUUUGUAUGGCUACGACUAGUAGUGAGGUUUCGAGGAUUUGAAGAAUCACCCUGGUAAUUGGAAUCUCAAGUCCUAGGCAAGUUGUGCCCUUGAUCACUUCUUUUACCCACUCAUGUUCUAAUUAAUCAUAAUGAGCUGCAUAGGUUAAUUUUGAUGGGACCCAAUAGGUUACCCUAGUUUGUCUAUCUUUAUGCCUUGUUUACCACUGAACUUUUUGGGUAGUACUUGCUAGUGCUAUAUGUGGUUUUGGGCAUUGAGAUACACAUUAUUCAUGAUUAUACUUUUGUUAUCCGUUGUUAUUUACUGUUCAUGUCAAGAUCAUUAAUGUUAAUUGGAACAUAGAGCUUAACUUGAGAAACACGUGCCACCACAAGGGUUUAUGGACGCCCUUGGCUGAUUAAUUAGGAAAGCUAGUGGAGGACUACCUUACCCGAAAGGGGCAAGGGCAGUAGGGGAGUGGUCAGUGUAGGGAGGCCCUCGGGAGGAUUUUGCUGCGAUGGUGGUCCUGCAAGGGAUUCCUGCAUUGGAGCUUCCUAUAAACUGUAGCGGGUUUUCUGAAGCUAGUGGAACUUUGUAAAGGCCUCGUAGUGUUACCCUGCCUCGCCUCCUCGGUAGAGGUGUAUGGGAAGUCGCGAUCCCUUGGCAGAUGGGUAACAUGACUUGUGGGUAAAGGGUACCACCUCUGCAGAGUGUAAAACUGGUAUACUAGCCGAGCUCACGGUCAUGAGCAGCUCAGGACUCUCUGAUGAUUAAUUUAUGGAACUAAAUUCAAUUUGUCAUAUGCAUUGCAUCGCAGGUGAUGAUGUUACUUUUGUUCCACUACUUAAUUGGGUUGGUAUUUACUUAUACUUAGUAAUUGCUAAUAAAAUUUUGACCAACUUUAAAAGCAAUGCCCAGCUCUAACCAUCCUCUUUGGUAAGCCUUACACUUCACGUGAGCUCCCACCUUUGGCGAGUUCAUGCACAUUAUUCCCCACAACUUGUUGAGCGAUGAACGUAUGUGAGCUCACUCUUGCUGUCUCACACCCCCCCCACAGGUCAAGACCAGGUACCACAGGAUGAGGCGCUUGGAGGAUGCUGUGAUGUGUUCGUGAGAGAUCUAGGCCGUCGUCUCCCAGUCAACUUUGGGUUGCUGGACCGUUGUCUCCUUAUAAUGUAAUUAUUUAUUUAUUUUGUAUGGAAUUCCUGUUAUGUAGUAAAGAUGUGACAUUCGAUCAUGUGCCAUGAUUCAUCAUAUGUGUGAGACUUGGUCCCAGCACACCUGGUGAAUAUGUUCGCGCCCGGGUUUUGGACCCCUAAAAUCCGGGUGUGACAAAUCCAUUCAUUUCAUAUAAUUUGCAAUCCAAACUUAAGGUCAUGUUGCAACGAAGAACUGCUUUCAUGACACUAUGCACAUUUCAUUUAGCACAAAUAUCGACUCCAUACAAAUCAACCAUUUAUUCAAUUAACGGAAACAACGAAUCGACUUACCACGACUAAACUCGAAGCGACGUCCACGAACACAACGAAGGUUUUGGGUUCGGUCCUUCUACCGAACACUUAAUAAUCGUCACACGGGCUUCGGUUCUUCACCAUCGGAACCUAGGGGUUUCUCUCCUCACAAGCAUACAAAAAUAUACACAUGGUUAGCCUCUACUUAAUCUACGCCGAGUACAUGUACUAGCAAGGAAUAAACACAAGAAAAACAGAGUUCUCACCGGGGUUCGACGAAGUGGUGAUCGGGUCGGCAUAGAUCGAGGUGGAGCUCGCGGUGGUAUUUCAUCGAGCACAUCGAGGGCGCGACACGAAGGGGUUUCAUAGUUGUUGCUGCUCAAUGACCUUGGGAGCAUGGGCUGGACAUGUGCUGCAUGAAGCCGAGAAGGGCGCGGUCCAGUGAAGGAAAUCGACGACGAGGUGUGCUUGGUCGGACAGGGAGAGGAAACGGAGGUGGAGACCGAGCUGGGAGUGGGCGCGAGCUGCGCGAGCGCAGACCUGAGGAGGGGCGAGCACCAGGGAGGAGAGGAGCUCGGCGCCAAGGGGGAAACAGGGACGGCCGGUGUGCUGGGACGACACCAUGGCGCGGCGAGAGACGAGGUUGAGGAUGGCCGGACCAAGACUGGGUCGAUGAUCUCCCAUGGCGAACACCACCAGAGAGCGACGGGGUGGGAGAUCGGCGAGGGCGCACUAGAGAACGACGACGUUGGAGGCCAUGGCGUGCUCCACGGCUUUAGAGGGGGCGACGACUAUGGAUGGGGAAGGUCAAGGGAACUCAGCCGAGUGCUCGACGGAUGUGAGGCCAUGGGCUGGGCGAGAAGAGGGAGCCGCCAUGGGGGAGCGUGAACCUCCCUGGUGGCCGACGAGCAGGGAGAGAGAGGGUUGGCGUGGGAUUGAAGAAGUUGGAGGAUGGGCGGCGUGAAGAUAAGCCUAGAAGCUUAAGCAACAGAGAAGAAAAUUAUAGAUUUUCUUUCUUUUCUUUUGUUUUCCUUUCUCCCUACAUACAUAUAUGUCUCGGUUCUGAAAUUCAUGUUUGAGUGGGGUGUAAAUGGAUCGAAAAGAGAUGACAGGGAAAUAAGAUGCGUACACGUGUUCUCACGGGUGAUGUCACGUGUCGUUCUUGUAGGUGAGAAGCUAUACGCUGUCCCCUCACAGGUUCGCACCCGCCACACGCGUCAUGAUGUCAGGCUACAGAUAGACUUGUGCGACGCAAGCUUGAACGAAUUUCAAACGAAUUUUUUUCUAAGGAACCACAUUUAAUUUCAAAGAUUAUAGUUUGGGGCAAGAUGUCGAUGGCUUAACCCCAAACGAUACUGGAUUUGAUGUUUCGGAAGAUUACUAAAGUCUGAAUUUUUGCAAAAUAAUUUAGGACAAUUUAAACAGAUGGAGACAGACACGAUAUCAAAAUCGCGAUAGACAAAGAUGAUCAAAAUUUAGUGUACAUUUUAUUCACCGCUAUCACGUUUUAAAGUCCGCACUCGUGGUCGAGCAGACGAUAAACACCUGGGGUGUUACAGCCUUCCCCCCUUAAAAGAAUCUCGUCCCGAGAUUCAGAACGAAAGACUUCUAAGAGUAGAGAGGCGUAUAACCCUGUCCAUAAUAGUGAUAGCAUAAACUAAUUUCAAGUAAAGACGAGCAUCUCAAAAUGUUGCUUCUCUAGUGGGUAUAGCACAUACCACUUUAGUUUAACUAGAGACGUCAACAAACAAGAUAUAACUGACAAAAGAACACAUAAGGUUCCAUAUGUGCAGUUUGCUUUUUCUGAUGACACUGUACUAUCUGAGUCUGUUGGGCGAGCGGUAGAUAUGCGACUUUACUCAAACAGAAUUAGUUGCAACCUCUUGGGUAAAACACAUAGAAAGAGGUUUACCAACAAGUGGUUAUUGGAAAUUCCUAGCACAUAAGACAAGGGUGGAUGUCGAAUAACAUCACCGUUAACUCGUGGUUAGCCAGGGAAUCCAAGUUUAAGAAAGACGAUAAAAGUUUGAGAAAACACCAAUGUAGUGAUCCGUAGAUGUUGACUUCGUGAUCAAACCAUCCUAUCAAACAUUAAGCAUAGCUCCACUUGAUCACACGGGUGAGAAAACCACAUGUGAGGCAAUUAAGGCAUGACUGGAGCAAUGAUUAGGUGGUUGCCAGACGACUUCACUUGAUCUCUUUGUAAGCAUUUCCUUAGGAUGGGUGGAACUAAAGUGAGUUUAGACAACUCGAUAAAACAAUCUCUAAACUUAACCUUUGUUCAUUGGGCAGUUGCAAGUUAGUAAAACCAACUUGUUGAACUACUUUUGACAUUGAGUAGGUCCUCUUAUUAUCGAUCGGCAAGCCAGGGUUCGAGAGUUCACUUUCAUUAGCCAGAGGUCACGUAUUUGGAUAGAUAUCCACUUAAUCAAAUUUUUUCAUCCAUGCUCUAUUCGCUUUAGAAAAUGUAUAACUCAAACAAGAGAGCGAAUGGACAAACUCCUGCAGUUCAGCAGCAGGGAAAACAAAUCUCCAUUUUGGGGAACUAAUUAGUUGCCUUUCAACACUAAAAAGCUCCAAGACUUCACCUUUACACAAAGGACGUAAAGGGACCUUGUAUGUGUAGUCACACAAAAAUCAAAAGAAAAGAGAUCACACAUGAAAGGGGUGAUUUACCACAUGAUUAAAUACAGAUAGGUUUCAAUUUUUGAUUAAGACUGUUGAAUGGUAGAAAAUUUAUAACAAAUACAUCAAAGUUAGAUACCCUUUUGAUCCAAUAGUGAUGGCGUAGGUUGUUUGAUUGUUUCAGCAACAACAACAAAAAAAUGUUUCAAAGGAGGAGUCCACGGAAGAUCACACAUCAGUGUAGUACCACAAUGGAUCAUGACCAAGGACCUCGAUACCAGCAUGCGCCAAGCAGCAUAACCUUGCAUGUACAUUCACAAGAGGCUCUCAGUUUCGCUGCGGCAUCAUAAGUCCUUAAUCAUGACACCAUUACAGAACUGGCACCGAUAAUGAAUCUCACGUGGUAAGAACAAUUUGCUCAAAGAUAACAUAUCGAUAUAAUCUCAUAAUGGAUUAUGACUACUAACUAUGAUACCAGUGCGUGCCAAGUAGCGCAACCAUGUGUUGAUCACCCACAGGAGGCCCUCGGUUUCGUCGCAGCACCAUCGGUUUUAGUCAUAACACCAUUACCAGAUGUAACCAAUAAGAAAUCUCACACAGUACAAAUGGAUUGAGCAAGGGUGACAAUAUCCAAAGAGAUUCUACUUGUAAGGAUGAUUACAAGUAGAGAGUCAAACAGAUCAUGGCCAAAACUUAAAUUGAAUGAUGAAGGAAGUAUGAUGGGAGACUGUUAAUUCAGCCCAAGCAUAUUUCUAUGCCCAUCGCAGAGAUUAUCAAGUCAACGGUUAGUGUCUGAGUAGAUAUAGAGGGGGAAACGGUCAGGAGGUCAAAUUGGUAUGCCUUCGAGAGAUAUGAGGGAACCAAAGGCAUUAAAUUCAAGAAAACUAUUGGGCAUUCAUUUCCUAGGUUAGAUUAAGAAAGCAACAAUGUGAUUCUCGUGGAGAGGCAAAGCAGAAUAGAACCAUCAGCUUGCACCAAACAAACAAGGGUAUGGUUUAGGAUGAAAAUAUGACCACAACAUAGUUAUGAAUUAAUUAUUAGGAACACAGACUCGAGAUCCUCAUUAAAGUCCGCGUACAUCUUAUGUCCCACAAAGAGAUUAUCAAAAAUUUCAUUUGCACGAGUUUGGCCACGAAGUAGUAAUGGAUAAUCUAAAGUCAUCCAUGUUUUGAAGAUUUAGAGGGACUUUGAAGAAAUGACAAAAUUAUAAAUUAGAUCUCAUACAAUUUCAAAUAUUGAGAUGAUGAGGACAUGACUUGGUCUAAUUGCUAGAACAACAAUAAUCUUGUGAAGAAAAUGAUCCUCACACAAGACGACACCUAGGAUAGAUUGUCAAGAAAUUAAUACAUGUUUAGAUCAAGGUUCACUAAACAGGGACAUGACCUAGCUUUGGGUUUAUGCAAACAAACUACCUGCAUUCUACUAGCACACAAGCACGAAAACAAACCCAAGUUGCACUAGCAGUCAAACUAAGAAGAAUCACAGGCCACAUAAACACAUGUCUAAAGGACACAACAAACAAAGCUAGAAAUUGCUUAUAGAACAGUAAUACUUCAUACAAUUUCCCAAUUAUUUAUUAUCGGAAUAAAGAUGAGAAAAGCAUGUUCGUUCACAAUCACCAAUUAUUAGAAUAAGGGUGAGAGAAGCAUAUUUGUGCACAAACAACAAACACAAUGCAACAAUCAGGAUGCAUGAUCGUCCUAUUCGUCCUCACGAAUUUCGCCAACAUAAUGUGGCAAUAGUGUUCUAUAUCGGUGGCAUAUCUACGUUCUCUCUCGAUAUGUUGCUAGUCGUCAGCUACACAUACGAGUUCGAAGUUAGUGUACCUGCAGAAAAUUCCAUCACAGCCCAGUUCCCAAUGAUGCAAUUCACACAUGAUAGUUUAGCACAGUUUAUACUCCAUAUAUUUCUAUAUGGAGGCCAGCUCCUCAUUAAGCGUCGAGCCACGCAUAGGCGCCGCUGCCACACUUUAACCAUAGGGCAGCUCAUUAUGGUAACUCACCUUUUUACCUGAGCGUAGGUACGUCGUUGCGAGUACAUUACACGUCUCAGUAUUCCCAUGUCUGCAUACCCAUACACAUCCAUGGGGUACUGAAUCCCAGAAAAAUAAAUACUCCACAUCACAGCUUUCAUAUAUACAUAUGUGUAACAUGUAUAUAAUCAAGCACUUUUUAUACUCUCACCUAGAUCGACGUUUGUCCCGUCAUGCUCUCACAUCUCACCUUACCUGAGCGUCGAUCCAUUCAAGACUGAAUGGCCUCAAAAAUAACAUUACACAUGUAUGCAUUACCCUUCCCAGGUUGUGGGUUAGUAUUCUGAACUAAGCCACCUAGUAGUCCUUAACUUAGGGCUUAACAGAGGAUGUCGCUAGCAUUAUAGUUUUUCAAAUCUGUUUUUUAAAACCAAACAAUGUUUUUAGCUGAAAAUAGGUUUUUCGAAACUAAAACUUUUGUUUUGAAAAUAUGUAUGUGACCGUAUAUACUUAAUCCUGCUCCGAUACCAGCUGUCGCAGAACCUCCCAAGUUAUUGGGCCCACAUGCACCUGUCCUUGUCUCAAAGACCUUAGACGGCUAUGCAUGUGCACCAAACAACUUAACAGGAUCUGUCCGAGUGCCCCAAGGACCCCGGAUAAACGACUUACCGUCAAGAUCGCAGGAUUAAGUAAACACAAAUCACACACCAACAUUUAAAGCGGAAAUUCUUUAUUACAAAAUGGUUACAAGUUACAACAGUUACAAGUUAUAACAAGUUUACAAUAUAUAUCAUCGGAGUUGAUUACAAAAGAAAUUGAUUCAAAAAGAUUACAAUUUGAAUGUAUAAAACAUUUAUAAGUUUUAAAAUACAUGCUAGCUUAAGAGACAAUCCUCGAUAGAGAAGCUAAAGAUGGGAUAUACUUAUAUAAGAAGGCCGAGCCCACCGGCACUUAGCACCAUCCACAAC
rnacentral:lncRNA from 1 species